UUUUUUUUUUUUUUUUAUUUCCUCUACCCCCAAGUAGUGAAGGACAUCCAACAUUGAAUUUGUAGCCUUUAUGGCCUACCCUGCCUUCAUGAUCACAUCAUUUUGGUAGUGGUCACUGUCUACUCGCAUGAAAUAUAGUAGCUAGGCAAGGAAAGUUCGAGUCUUGAUUUGGUCAUGUGUAGUAGUUUUAGGAUGAAUAUUGUAGAAAGCAAUGAAAGUAAUCAUGUUUGAAUAUUAAUAAAGUUUAUGAGAAUUUCAUCGAAAUCUACAUUCUACAUUAAAUUUCUUUUUGAUCGUGUUUUAUUUUCGCUUACUAGUUGUCUGACACGUCACUUCAUGGAGAAUGUUGCAUUGGAGAUCUAGGUGGUCGCAUCAUAAUUCCAUAUAAAUUGAGAUCGAGGCGUGACAAUAUUCAAUAGGAACAAUCUUACUAACAAUCAAGUAUCUGACCUUUAAUAUAAGCCAAAUCAAACCUAAACAUAAUACCAAUCAUUAUAAUUUUAAUCAUAAAAACUACCAAUUAUUAUCAAUUUUAUCUACCAAUCUUUUAAAUCAAAAUUCCAACUUAAGUCCCAAUUAAUUACCUAAGUGAUAUUCACGGAAAAAAUCGAAGUCAACCUACUAAACAAUGAAAUAAACGCCUCCAAAAAGCUCCAAAUUAAAUCCAAUUAAUCCUCCAAUGUAAAAAAAACAACCUCAAAUUAAUCCCUAAUAGAUAUCCAAAAUUCAUCAAGAAAAUUUCCAAAAUCUUACCAACUCACUCACUUAAAAUCUGAAGCAAAACGGAGUAGAUCAGCGGCGGUGCAGAUCUAUGAUGGCUCGUAGAGGAGUGGCGUGCUUGGGCGUGUGGCGGAGAAGACGACUGGCUUGUGUCGUCUGACGAGGGACAACAAUGUUUGAAUGGUGACCACAAGUGACGACAAGAGAGCUAGCGACCGACAAAAAGAAAAUCGAAAGGAGAGGGGGGUUGGCCGACGACGACUAGAAGAAGAAGAAAGACACAUAUACAUACACAUAUGUUGUAUAUAUCUAUCUAUUUAUCUAUCUAUCUAUCUAUCUAUCAAUAUAUAUAUAUAUAUAAUAUUUUGGAAGAUUAUCAAAAAUAGCAAAAUUGAAAAAAUAUUUACCUUUUAUAGAAAAAUCAAAGGUUAAUUUUCAUAAAUAUAACAAAACACCAAAAUAUUUACCGUCCAUGUAACAAAAUCAAAAAGCCCAUGAAGUCGGCCAUUUUUUAAAAAUAUUCUAGGUUUGUCCUUUCUUUUCAUCUUCUUUCUUCACUUAUUCUUCUCUUCUUCUUCAAUUUUUCAUUUCCUUUUCAUUGUCUCUCUAAUCUUCUUCUUCUACAAAAUCUAACAAAUAUAAAAGAUAAUCUUUUUAAAAAAUCUUUUUUCAUUGUUACACGAUCGUUUAGAUUUGAUCUUGUACCAAAGAAUCUUGAAAAAAAAUUGUUGGAUAUUGGUACAUGAUCGAUCUAAACGAACGUAUAGCCAAAUUUAAACGAUCAUAUAUCAAAUAUAGAAGAAUCUAAAUGAUUGUGUAUCAAAUAUAGAAGAAUCUAAAUGAUUGUGUAUCAAAUAUAAUUUUUUUAUAUUAGGAUAUUGGUACACGAUUGUCUAGAUUUGACCCAAAUCUAAACAACCAAAUAUAUUACACGCACGAGUGACCAAUUAAUUGUGUUUUGGCUAGGGCAUUUUUUAUAUUUUUCAUUGUGGGCCUAUGAGCUUUUUCUGUUUCGAAAUUAUUCUAUACAUUGUUAGUAUUUUGUCAAUUUGUUAUAUUUUUCAUAAAACACCAAAAUCAAAUGUAAAUAAUACAUACACAUAGAUGACCUUUUAGGUAGAAUAAUGGGACCGAAAUGCAUGAUAAAUGUGCCAAAACGCGUAACUUAUGUUGUAAUAAUUAUUUAGAAAUGCACUUUAUAUGAACUCCAUGUCUGCUUUUACCUUGUUUUUAGUGUCUAAACGUAGGAUUAUUAACAAAAGAACAAGCUGACAAAUCGCAGAGAAACCCACGAAGAGAUAAUGCGAGAAGAACAAAUCAUUAUGCAAGAAGAGGUUUGCUAGAAGACAAAAGUGGUAGAUGGAGUGAUAUGACUUGACAAAAAGGAUAGCUUUCAACAUUGCAUGGUCAACAUGAUAGAUUUCCUACCAAAAGCUGCCUAUAAAAGAAGCUCCAUCACCACCAGAGAAUGGUGUAAGGCCUGUAUAGGCCAUAAGGCAAGACGUUUGGAUUGAUCAACCGUUUCUAAAGAGUUGGUGACAAGGAUUAGCCUUACCACCGGUUGUAAAGUCCAUUCUUUUCUUCUCCGUUCAAUAUGUAAAGUGAGAGCUUGUGGUCUAAGUGAAGAAGAUGUCAUCCCCCAUUCCCCCUAACUUGUAUUUUUUUUUUUUAUCUCUUUCCAUUUUUUAUUAUUUCUUUAAAUUGUAUUUGUUUAUAUUUUACAGUGGCCGAAGGCCUAUAUUCUUUAAUACAAUGUAUGCUUUUACACAUUUCAAUCCAUCCAUCUCUUUAAUUGUUGUUCAUCUCUCUGUAUGUUAUUUGUAGUUUAGGUUUGUGAUUCAUGUUUAACAAGCGUAGUUUAGCUUAUAGUGCUUGUUGCAUUAGCAAAACUACAUUUUACACUUGACCAGUUUAUGUCGUCAACUGUCCGAGAGAGUAAGUAGCAAGGACGUUGCUAACACAAGCAAGGAAGAGUUUUCUCGACUUUGACAAGAUGACUUCCUUCGUUUGUAUCCCAAAGGGUGAACAUGUGUGGACACUAGGGUCUGAGAGGUUACCGUCCUUAAAUGUGAAGCACUCCAAAUAGUAUAAGUAAACAAUGCUAGAUAUAACUUGCUUAACUAGAUUUAGUCAUUUGGAUCUCGAAAGAAGACUAAGUAUAACAUUUAAUGACUUAAAGAGGAGCGCGCCUUAAUCCGAAGCAAGUUUUUGAACCCCACCAUUAAUCCAAAAUUUCUCCAAAUUAAAUAUAUACCAAUAUAUUUAAUAAUUUUUUCUUUCCUCGUUAAAUCAACUUUUCUCCUACUUAAAUAUAUUCCAAUGUAUACUUAAUACUUUUAAAUCCAAAAUCCACCAAGCCAAUUUUUUCUUAAAUACAAACUAAAAUAAUCAACCUCUUUAAUAAAUUAAUCUUAAUAAAACCAACUUAACACACUCAUUUAGUUCAAGAUAACUAAGGUAAAAUUAUCUCAAAUUUGAGAUGUCACAUUUUUAAACUAUCAAUAAGAUUUUUGGUUAAAAUCUGAUUUUGGUCCCUAAAUUUUGCAACCGGUUCUAUUUUGGUCUCUCAAGUUUUAAAAGUGUAAUUUGGUUUUUGAAAAUUUGAAAAAAACUUACUUUGGUCCUUCUUGUUAGAAUGUCAUUAACAUUUUAAAAGAAUGAUGACGUGACUUUCUAAAUUUUGUUGAUUAGACUCUAGACUCAUUAUAUUAGUUAAAUUGAUAAAUAAUCAACAAAUCUGGCUAAUUUAUUAUAUAAAUCUUUUAUGAUAACAUAGAAAUAUAAUUAAGACAUGUGAAUUAAUUAAACCCAAAUUAAAACAAACUUAAACCAAAUGAGAAAAACAACAUUGAGUAGAAUAAAAAAAAAAUAGAAUUGACAUAUUGGUGUUUAACAUUCAUGACAAGGUAAAAUAAACUAAAAAAAUAAAAUAAGUACAACACUUGUUUAAAAUAAACUCUAAGAAAUUGUAAACAAAUAUAUAUUCCUACCCUGAAAAUCAUAAAACUUCAAAAGAAAGAAAUAAAUAAUUAGGAGGAAAAAAAAAAAGUCAUUCAAUGUAUCACAAAAUAUCUCAUAAACUCGAGGCACAAAAAAAUUUAUAUGUGUGAAUGAAUUGCAUCAAACAUAUGAGUUGAGAAAGUGAAGUAGGAUGACAAUACCAAAAAAUGGUAAUGAUCAAAAUUUAGAAGACGAUACCUUUUUAGUUCUAUGAUAAAACAUCAAUUUACCAUCUAUCCUUUAACUAAAAAAUUAAAACUUUAGAUGAUUAAGUGAUUAUCUUAUUUGGUAUCCUAUUCAUCCAAAUGCAGAAGUUCCCUCAUCAUUAACGUAAUCUUAAUGGUAAUGACCAAAAUAUAUUGUUUAAAAAAGUUUAGGAACCAAAAUAGAAUAAGAUACUAAGUUUAGGGAUGACUUAGACCUAGUUUUUUUUUUUUGUAAGUACAAUAAUUUAUACAAAAUCAGAAGGACCAAACCAUAAUAUUUGAGAUGAAAAAGUUUAUUUAUUGUAUACAUGUCUUCAACUUUUACAAUGGAAAAUUGGACGUGAGAACCGAUCCUCAUUAUUUACAGAACACGUUGAUCGAUUACAGCAUGCAAUGAGAUUGAAUGCUGUAACUCAAUGAUUUGUUGAGCCAUUUCUUCCAAUGAUUUCUCCCCUUUUCUUCUUCCCUUUGCCUUGACAUUUUCUCGUUAAGCAAUAAUGAAUGUGGACUCCCUUGCUUUUUACAUAGCAAAAAGUGCCUUACUUGCUUUGAUCCUAUACUUUCCCUUGGGCUUAGAGCUGUUAGAAAAAGAAUGAAAGCAAAUUGAGUUGUUUGAUAAUGUUAAAAGAAAAUUAAAAAAAGAAGUGUUAUAUGAAAGACAUACCAUCCCUUUUUUCAUCGUUAACACAAAAGAGAAUAAAGUUAUCAACAUUAGUUCCAAGAAUAGGAAGACGAGCUUGACGAGCAUAUAAUGUAAGAGAAGUCUUGAUAAUCUCACAAACCAAAUCAUCUUCAUUUGCCACAAAUCUAAUUGGUCCUGUGCUCCCAAUGACAUUGAUAGACACCAAAAAUCUAUUACACUUUGUAUUUGUAUUCACUUUCUUACCCUUCUUUGUGGUGCUUCUCUUCAACAUACUAUUCAUUUUUUUUUGGUAAGAGAGUAUGAGAGAAUGGAAAGAAAAAGAUCAAGGUAAUUUGAUAAUCUAAAAUUUAGUUAUUGACCAACUUGCUGGAGGACGAGGACAAGAUGGAUGGAGGUUGAUGUCGAUCUGAGACGACCCAAGACAAAGGAGGAAAAUGAUCAAGAUGAAGAGAGAACGAUAUAUAUAGUUUCCACCAUCAAUAAUAUAUCGUUUCAAGGGACAUGGUCAACAUGUUCAAUAUGUGAAGUUAAAAUGUACCAGCCAUCUUUUGGUAGUCUAGAAGGAAAAGGUGGACAUAUAAAGCAUCUAUACUUUGUGUUUGUAUGUGUGGAUGUGAUAUUAGGCCAACGAAACCAUACUACACACAUAGGUUGUAGAAUAGAAUAUGUUUAAAGAAAGGUCGUGAAUAAUAAUAUUAAAAAUAGACCUAAAUUUGAGUUUUGUAUCAUAAUUUUGAGGACAAUUAAAUAAAAUAGAAGGAAAAAUAUGUGACUUACCGAGUGAUCAUCAAAUUUUGUUGAUUAUACUUUUACAAUUCAAAUUACUCCAUACUUAUUAUUGUAUAUUAAUGAAAAGGAUUCAUAAUAAUGUGGCUUUAUGUAUUACAUGAGAAGUAAAAAAAGAAAAGGAUAAUUAAAAAUUUACCAAUUAGAUUUAAAAUAAUUAAGUACAUAACAACAUUGUAAAAAAUUUGCAAAUAUAGCAAAAUUUGUCAAAUUCUAUCAAUGAUAUGAACCUAUCACCAAUAGAUCAUGUUACAAAUAUUGGUCUAUCACUGGUAGACUCAUAGCGAUAAUUUUGUUAUAUUUGUAAAAAAAUUAAAUGUUGUUAUAUUCUUAAUUAUUAUUGCUAAAAUGACCAUCAAUUACAAUUAUCCAAAAAAAAAAAUUCGACCUCUUUUAUUAAUAGAUAUGAAAGACAAGUAUAUCAAGGACAUGUAUAUGGCCAAGUUAUUGAAAAAGGAAGCAAAGUAAAAUAAAAUCAAACUCAUUCAUAUGAACCUACUUUAGUUUGAACUUUAAUAUUUUGCUUAUAUAUAAGAAGUGAUUUUUUUUUAAGAUUUUGUUCAAUUUUGCCUACAAUUUUAUGUUUUAAUGAAGGGUUGGUUCAUGCUUUGUUUUUCGAAAAUUGAGGUAGAAUAACUCCCCAAAUUACUAAAAGAAAAUUGAGAGUAUUUAUAUGAACAAAUUUAAAAUAUUUAAAUAUAUGUAAUUGUCUUCCAUUUUUAAGAUUAAAAUGUUAAUGUAACUUUUAAAACUUUGGAAUCUUUCUCAUGGUAUUAACAAUUUUCAUCACUACAAUAGAAACAAGUGCCAUUUUUAAUUAAUUUUCUUUUUAAAUUUUAAAGUAUUAUCGAAACUUUUAAUGGUUAAAAAUAUUUUUUAAACAACCAACAACAGUUCAUCUAAAAUUAUUGACAAUAAUAUUUAUUUUAUAUUUUUAUUUUGAGAAAAUUUUAAAAGAGUAGAUUUUACAAUAUAUUUACAAUUUAUAACAAAUUCUCUUACUGAUAGUCAUUGAUCUACUACAGUAAUGAAAUCUAAAAAUUUUGUUACAGUUUGUAAAUAUUUUAAUUUAUUUUACUAUUUUUAAAAAACGUAAUUGGAAUUAAUGACCAUUUUAGGAAUAAUAAUCAAGGAUAUAACAACAUUUAAAAUAAAUACAAAUAUAGCAAAACUGUCGCUGAUAGACUUGUAUUUCUGAUAAACUCAUAUUGUCUAUCAGUAUUUACAACAUUGUCUAUCGGUGAUAGACUUCUAUAAUUGAUAAAAAUUGACAAAUUUUGCUAUAUUUGUAAAUUGUUUAAAAUGUUAUUAUAUACCUAAUUAUUUUGAAUUUAAUUGCUAAAUUUACAACCAUCAUUUUUAAAAAUGUCCUUAUUUAUAAGUUCAAUGGCACUAGAACUUUUCAAAGUUUAUUUGACUCCGUAAAAAAGUUAAAAUAUAUUUUAUAUAAUGCAACCAAAGAAAAGAACAAACGUGAACGAGGCAUUAUUAGAAACAUAAAAAAUAGUUAAAAGAAGGAUAGAUGUUAAACUUUUGGUUCGUGUAUAUGGAUGUAACUAAUCCACACUGUAUAAAUAAUAAUUUUUUAUUCAAAAUACAAAAAAUAACAUUUUGAAAAUAAGAAAAAUAAUAAAUAAUAUAAAAUUUUAUCAAAAUAUUUAUGAGAAUAAUUAUAAUUAAUAGUCAUUUUAGAAAUAAUAAUUAAAGAUAUAACAACAUUUAGAAAAAAAAUGUAAAUAUAGUUAAACUAUCGCUGAUAGAUUUGUAUCGUUGAUAGAUUAGUACGGUCAAUUAGUGAUAUACGAAUGUUUACGACAUGGUUUAUCGAUAAUAGACUUCUAUAAUUCGAUAAAUUUUGCUAUAUUUAUAAAUAUUUUAAAAUAUUGCAAUAUAGUUAAUUAUUUAGUUAAUUAUUUUGAAUGGAAUGGCUAAUGUAAACAAAUCUUUCAAACCAAAAAGAGUUUAAACUUGCCAAUUCCAAGAAUACCCUUUCCGGAUUUGAAAUUUGUGCGUGGUUACUUAAAUACGUUCUUCUUACUCAGUUUGCCGAUUUCUUCUUCCUCUCCGGCGAACAAGACCCGAGAAUUGAGAUCUUAACAAUGGCGUCACAAGGCUCUGUGAUUUCUGUAUUCUCUAUUUCCUUGCCAUCACUGAACGGUUCAUCGGCCUCGGUGUCUCCGACAUCGCGGUCGUCACUGUUUUCCGGCUUUUGUUUCCGCAAACACCAAUUACCGCUCCAAUUCACUGCUUAGAGAAUUUAAUUGCACAUAUUGCUCCUUGAAGUGGAAAAAACGAUUCCCCUUUCUCCUCUUGAUUUUCUAAUUGUAAGCCCUCUCUCUCUCUUAGUUUUUUCUUUAAUUUCUUACAUUAAUUUUGUACAUUCUUGUAAUUGCUAUCAUUUAUCUUAGUGAUGAAAUUAGACUAAACCCUAUAAUGUCUUUGUUGAAUCAUCGAGACUUGUUGCCUUUCAUCGAAUUUUCAUGUUUAAUUGGCGAUAAUGAAAGGCUUUUUCUUUGUUUAGUUAGAAUAAUUCCUAUUACUUAGGGAUAUUGUUGUUUGAUUUCAUUUUUCCGUUUCCACUUGCUGGUUUGUAGCUAAAGUGGGUUUCUAUUUUAGUUUAUUUUUGUUCACUUAUUUACCUGUUUUGAUGAGUAAUAUGAAGUGAAAUGUGCAAAUCAUUUGUGUGCUUUCAAUCUCAACAUUCUGGUAUCAGAGCAAGGUUGGGUAUUGUGUGGAGCAGCAGUCUUUAAGAUUUUUGCAGCAGCAAAAGAAAAAUGACUACGGAAAAGAAUGAAGGAAGUUUUAUACAACAAGCCAUUCCACGCUUUGAUGGUCACUAUGAUCACUGGAGCAUUGGGAGUUGGUAGAACCUGGAUAUGUUGAACCAGCUAGCGAGUCAUUGCAGACAAAUGCUCAACAGAAGAAAAAUGAUGAAAUGAAGCUGAAGGACUUGAAAGUGAAAAUUUAUCUUUUCCAAGCCAUUGAUCGCACAAUUCUGAAGACCAUUCUCAAGAAAAAUACUGCAAAAGAAAUAUGGGAUGCUAUGAAGAAAAAGUAUGAAGGAAAUGCAAGAGUCAGGCGGUCUUAUCUUCAAGCUCUUUGUAGAGAAUUUGAAAUUCUUGAGAUGAAGUCUGGUGAAGGGGUGACAGAGUACUUCUCCAGAGUCAUGAUUGUGGCAAAUAAGAUGCGAACUUAUGGUGAAGAUAUGCAAGAUGUAAAAGUAGUUGAAAAAAUCCUACGCUCCUUGACUGACAACUUUAAUUAUAUUGUUUCUUCUAUUGAAGAGUCAAAAGAUCCCAACACUCUCACUAUUGAUGAAUUACAAAGUUCUUUAAUAGUACAUGAACAAAAGUUUCAACGACGAGGUGGGGAGGAGCAAGCCUUGAAAGUGACAAAUGAUGAAGGAAGAGGUCGUGGUAGUGGCAGCUAUAGAGGAAGAGGUCGGGGAACUUUCAACAAAGCCAAUGUGCAGUGUUUUCGAUGCCAAAAAUUUGGAUAUUUUCAAUAUGAAUGUUCUGAAAACAAAGAAGCAAACUAUGCUGAAUUUGAUGAGGAAGAAGAAAUGUUUUUGAUGUCUUAUGAGGAAAAACAUGGAGUUCAAAGAGAAGAUACAUGGAUUCUUGAUUUUGGGUGUUCAAAUCAUAUGUGUGGUGAUCGAUCAAUGUUUAGUGAUCUCAAUGAAGAUUUUCGACAUUCAGUGAAAUUGGGAAACAACACUAGAAUGAAUGUCAUGGGCAAAGGAAAUGUAAAGUUGCUCAUAAAUGGAGUUAAUCACGUUGUUGCUGAGGUAUAUUACAUUCCAGAUUUAAGUAGCAACCUAUUGAGCAUAGGACAAUUGCAAGAAAAAGGAAUGUCGAUUUUGAUCAAGCGAGGAGAGUGCAAAAUAUUUCAUCCAAAGAUGGAUUUGAUUAUUCAGAUCAAGAUGAGCAACAGUAGGAUGUUUACUUUGCAAGCUCAAACUCAAAUAUCUUGGGGAAUUGACAAAAAUAGGCCAAAAAUGGGGCAGAUAAAGACUUUUAGGAUUGAUUGUAAAAAGGUUGACAUUUAGGACAAAUUGGAGGUGAAAUGACGAAAAUACCCUCAUUUAAUUUCAAUUCACAUUUAAUUUCCUCCUUCCUCUUUUCUUCUUUUUACUUUUCUUCAACCCAAAAACAGAGAAGGCAGUUCAAAAAAAAAAAAAAUGUAAACCUCCCGCAUUUGAACUCUCCCGCCUCUGCAGUUACCACCUUCAACUUUGUGCCUUCGGUGAACGUUUUUCUCUUCCGUCCAUUUCUUCUCCACUUCCAUCCAUUUCUUCUCCACGACUCUCCACUAUAUUUUCCGAUUUCAACUUUUUCACCGAACGCCUCCAUUUCUUCUGCACGAGUCUCUGUUUUAGUUUCAACUUCAACUUCGGUGAACGCUUCUCCACUUCCAUCCAUUUCGAUUUCAGCUUUGUUUUCACCGGACCUCUCCAUUUCUUCUCCACCCCUCUACGUUGGCAGUGCCAUAUCCAUCCUCUUUGAAGUCAAGUGAGUAAUAAAAUCUCAGUUUUUUUUUUAAAGUUAGUCUGUUGAAGAUAUGUUUAUCUAUUAUUAGAGUAUCCAUCUUGUUUGUUUAAGUUGUCUGUUGAGAUAUGAUGUUUUGGGCACAUUUUAGUUAUAUCAUUAAAUUUGUAGAGAAGAAAUGCAUGUCGUAUGCACACAGACAUAGAGAACCGUGGGAGCCAUUAUGUUUUUAGGAAGAAAUACGAUUUCCUUUGCAAUGUACUGUAAUAAUAGAUAAUUGGGUUAAGAAUGUAUUAUAUAUGUGCAUGCUACAAAUAUAUGUAUAUAUACAUACCUUGGAGUUUAGAACAUGAAUUCCAACAUAUUUGGUAUCCCAUCUAAACUCUGCAAAGCUACCAGUACAACAAUGUUGAACAAUGUUGAAAGACAUUAUCAUAAGCUGCAUUGUUGUUCUCUACUUUGUUAAUGUUUUUAGUGAUGUAGUUCCAAUAGAAUACAAUCUUUGUUGCCUUGUAUAACCAAGAAGCUCCCCAUAUUAAUUUGUCCUAUGUCAAACCAAUUUAUUUAAGAUUCAUAUGUUAGAGAAAAUUUGAAGACAAAUGAUUCAAUUAGUUUUGUUCUUAAACAUACAUGUAGGCUUUCCUCCUCUAUUAAUCAUUUUAGUAAAGGUGUUACAAUAUAUGUUUAGCCGUGCAUGCAAUUUUGUUUAGUAAUCUAAUUUGGUUUAUUGGCCUUUACUUGACCAAAAUUUGAGUAGAAGUCCCAAGAUGAGAGUGUUACCCUUCCUAAAUCGUUUAGAAUGCAUGUUUAACUAGUUUACUGGGUGUUAAGGGUUUAGGGUUAGCAAUUUUAUUAGACUUAGCAAGUAAUAGCUUCGAAAUUUUCUAUCUCGCACCUAUCAACACCUAUCUCGCACCUUUCGAAAUUUGAGUAGAAGUACCAAGAUGAGAGUGUUAACCUUCCUAAACCGUUUAGAAUGCAUGUUUAGCUAGUUUACUGGGUGUUAAGACGUUAGGGUUAGCAAUUUUAUUAGACUUAGCAAGUAAUAGACUUGAAUUUUUCCAUCUCGCACCUAUCACCACCUAUCUCGCACCUUCCAAAAUUUGAGUAGAAGUCCCAAGAUGAGAGUGUUAACCUUCCUAAACCGUUUAGAAUGCAUGUUUAGCUAGUUUACUGGGAGUUAAGGCUUUAGGGUUAGCAAUUUUAUUAGGCUUAGCAAGUAAUAACCUUGAAUUUUCCAUCUCGCACCUAUCAGCAACUAUCUCGCACCUUCCAAAAUUUGAGUAGAAGUCCCAAGAUGAGAGUGUUAACCUUCCUAAACCGUUUAGAAUGCAUGUUUAGCUAGUUUACUAGGAGUUAAGGCUUUAGGGUUAGCAAUUUUAUUAGACUUAGCAAGUAAUAGCCUUGAAUUUUUCCAUUUCGCACCUAUCAGCACCUAUCUCGCACCUUCCAAAAUUUGAGUAGAAGUCCCAAGAUGAGAGUGUUAACCUUCCUAAACCGUGUAGAAUGCAUGUUUAGCUAUUUUACUAGAUGUUAAGGCUUUAGGGUUAGCAAUUUUAUUAGACUUAGCAAGUAAUAGCCUUGAAUUUUUCCAUUUCGCACCUUCCAAAAUUUGAGUAGAAGUCCCAAGAUGAGAGUGUUAACCUUCCUAAACCGUGUAGAAUGCAUGUUUAGCUAUUUUAUUGGAUGUUAAGGCUUUAGGGUUAGCAAUUUUAUUAGACUUAGCAACUUUGCCUUCAAUUUUUCUAUCUCACACCUAUCAACACCUAUCUCGCACCUACCAAAAUUUGAGUAGAAGUCUCAAGAUGAGAGUGCAUUCAUGUUUAGUAAGUCUCUUAUGCAAUUAUAUUUAAUUAGUUUUUUUUAUGCAGGUUUUAUUAUGGCUUCGACAUUAACUAACGGUCCCAUGUACAAGAUUGACCCUGCUCAUCAUUUUCAGUCUAUAGUAAGCAGUUUAUCUCAUUUAGAAAACAGUACGCGUAAAAUAAAGGCUAAAUUGAAACCGGAUCCAUUAACCUUAUUUAGAAAUACAAAGUUUGGCCACUUUUUGGAUCUUAAUAUAGUCUUUAAUGGGCCGCUCAUCCACUACUUAUUGUUAAGGGAGGUGGAAGAUGAAAGGGUUGAUCAUAUCAGUUUCAAGAUAGGGGAAGUUGUGUGCAGUUUUGGUAGGAGAGAGUUUAAUAUGAUGACGGGUCUAUGGAGUUCUCAACCAGAGCCUAUUGAAUUGGUUGGGAAUAGUAGGUUGUUGGAGAAGUUCUUCGAACAAAAAAAGUGUAUUUAUAUAAGUGACUUAGAGGACACAUUUGUGGAAUACGAGGGGGAUGACGAUGACGAUGACAUAGUUAAAUUAGCUCUAGUGUACUUUAUAGAGCUGUCAUUGUUAGGAAAAGAUAGGCGGACGAAAGUGGACCGAACUUUAUUUAGGAUUGCAGAUGAUUGGACCACAUUUAACAAUUACGAUUGGGGAGGUUUGGUUUUUGGACGUACAAUUUCUGCCUUAAAACGAGCCUUGGACAUGCAACAUGCCAAGGGAAAGAAUAAAUCAACUAAGACAAAAUAUACUGUCAUGGGAUUUCCGCAAGCGUUACAGGUAUGUUACUUUACUUCCUAUGCACAUAUUUAUAUAUACAUAUAUCUUGGGAUACUUGCUAAACUUGUUUUGUCGAACAUGGAAUAGGUUUGGGCAUAUGAGUCUAUACCAACCAUCACUGAAUGUGGUGUACAUAAAGUAAGCAACGAUGCAAUACCACGAAUGUUGAGGUGGGUGUGCGAACUAUCACCAAAGUCUCAUGUCCUACAGAGCCAAGUGUUUGACUCGCCAAUGGUAAGUAUCAACAAACAGUAACUUACCAAAUGCAUGACUUUGUUCCUUUAUGUUUUGACUAACUAACUACAUUUCCACUUUGUAGUUCAUAAUUAACGUGGUAAUUGAGAUGAUGCCUGAAGAGGAGGAGCAUCUAAGAAUGUCUUCAGAGGAACUUGUUGAGAAAUCCCAUCCAUCUAACACCGUUUCUGAGAAGAAUGGUGAUUCAAAACGACCAGGAGAAGCUAGUAAUGAUGACAAUGACUGCAAAAAGAGUAAGAAAAAGAAGAAGUGGAAGUCUAAGAUGAAAGAAGUUGUUCGAAAACUCAAAUAUCGAGUAGCGGUUCUCGAGAAUGAACGUGGAAGCCUAAAAUCAACGCUGUCGACUAUAUUGAAACACCUUGAAGUUCAAAAAAAGGUUAGGAAUCAAAGUUUGUUUAACAUUUUCAAAGUUUGUUUAACAUUUUCAAAGUGUUCCUUACCAAUACAUUUUGACAUUUCCAAAGGGUGAAGAAGGAGACUGCACGGGAGUUGAAGGUCAUGAUGCCCAGACCGAAGAUGUUGACAAACCCGGUACACCUUCUUGGUUGUGGAUGCCAAAGGAGGAUGACACAAGUGAUGUGGUGAAACACGUUGAACUUCAAAAAAAGGUUAGGAAUCAAAGUUGUGUAAUGGGGUGAAAAUCAUCCUUACUAAUGCUUUAUCCUUAGUAAUUCAUUUUGACCUUCCAUAGGGUGUCGAAGCAAACCGCACGGAGGAUGACACAAUGGACGAGUUGGAUAAGAAGGUUCAUAUUGAUUUGGAGGAGCCAAUAGACGUCGUUGACAAUUUCAACGAGGAAAUUGGAGUAAAAUGUCUUACCUAUUUUGAUUCAGACGUCAUGGAAAUAGAACCAUUAUCCACUAAACGACCACACGUUCGACCCGCACGUAGCAAGCGUGCAAGUCACUUGUCAACCCCCUUCACAGCUUUAGUUAAACGGUCUACAAAAUCAACCACCACCACCUCUCAGUCUCAACCAUCCGUCUAUGGUCCUAUGCACAAGAUACCUGACACCCAUUUAGAUCGACUCAGAGCUUGGAUCACAGACAAGCGUACAAAAGAUGAGGUGCGUGAAACUUUUCACGGGAAAAAAUCGAAGGAAUUUUUUCAGAGACUUGUUCAUGUGUCGUCGGUGGUUGGCGGAUGAGGUAAGGACUUUUCUUAUUAUUUCUUAUUUACAGUUUUAGAGCACUUAGUAAAACCAUGUUUGUUAACUAAAAAUAGUAUGUUCAAGAAGUUGGUUUGAUCGCAUAACCGAAUUAUAUGUUUUCUUUUGUUUCUAUUAGCAUUUGGAUGCACUCUUUCUUCUCAUUCGCUUCAACAUUAAGUCAGCCAUGAUACCUUCUGCUCAAAAUUUCACAACUGUAGACACACUCUUCAUGGUUUGUAUUCGCAACCAUACUUGAUGUACUGAAUUUGCUUUUGAUAUUUGUCUUAUUGUCUUAUUGUAUUUGAUAUAUAUGCAUGUGUGUUUUUUUUCCUUCCAGCGACUAUUAGUUGCGAAGUGGCCUGAAUACCAAGAAUGUAUUAAAGAGAAUCGACCAUUUCACUUGAAGGAGGAGUAUCGAUUGGUUGACUAUGUUGUCGGAUCAAAACAAGACUUUCAAGAUCCUUGGGCGAAUGUUGAUUACAUUUACUCUCCAUUCAAUAUCCAUGGCAAUCAUUGGAUUCUAUUAUGCUUGGACUUGGUACGUUGUCAAGUUAAGGUAUGGGAUUCGCUUCCGUCGCUUACGAGUGCCGAAGAUAUGAGAAGCAUAUUAAUGUCAAUUCGAGAGAUGGUGCCAAAUUUGCUCGAUACUACUGGAUUCUUUGUUAGGAGAGGCGGAUCAUCAACACACAAGGAACCUUGGCCACUUGUCAUUGUUGACUCCAUUCCACUACAACGCAACAAUAGUGAUUGUGGUGUAUUUACAAUUAAGUAUUUCGAAUAUGAAGCUUCUGGUUUAGAUGUAGCUACAUUAUGUCAAGAAAACAUGUCAUAUUUUAGAAAACAAUUGGCAUUUCAAUUAUGGACCAACAAUCCCAUGUAUUGACUUUUAGUUCCAACUUUUGAAGGAAUGGUAUAUGUUCCAAACUAUGAACAUAAAUGGUUUUAUAUAAUGGAAUGAAUACCAUUGUUGUUUUAUGGUAUGAAAUUUUUAUUUCAUUCUCUUGGGAAAAUUGUAAAGUGUGCAGAACUUUUAUAUAAUGUACUGCAGUGCAGGUGAGAGCAACAUUCUCAUGCUCUUAGAAUUAGGAAGGCCAAUUUAUCACACGCUGUAUGAAAAUUUCACCUCUUUGAAUGCUAAUUGUUUUUUGCAGGUGUUUUAGAAACAUUUUUGGAUUUCUGAUGUAUGGAUAUAGGCAUUCUUGACGCUUAAGUUGAUUUUCUUAAUUGUGUUAGUUGCUGAAAGUCACGAAAAUGGAAAGUUUGUUCUGUCAGAAUCCUGCUUUUAAAUUAAACAUUAUUCUUUACAGCUUUGGAGUUGUUCUAAUGGAAGUACCAACAGGAAAGAAGCCCAUUUUCUAAGACACCUGCCAGGAAAGCAACAAGAAAGCAGAAUGAGAGAACUAAAAGGUAAUCUGAAAGAGAUGGUAGAUCCCAGCAUAUCAUAGGCUCAGGUAGAGAACGUAGUCAAAGUGGUAAGGAUCGAACUUCGCUACAUGGCUAAGAUUCCAUCUACAAGGCCCUCCAUGAAAAUGGUGGUUCAUAUGCUUGAAGAGGUUGAACCUUGUAACUUUAUUGACAUUGUUGUCAAGAAAGAAUGUGAAAACUAAAAGUAAUCAGCAAGAUUUGCAUCAUUACUACUGUAGUAGCAAAAGGAGAGCAUUUAUUGAGUUCUAAAGCACACAAUAUUCUUUACUUCUCACGGAUGGUUCAAACAUUAUUCUUUACAGCUUUGGAGUUGUUCUAAUGGAAGUACCAACAGGAAAGAAGCCCAUUUUCUAAGACACCUGCCCAGGAAAGCAACAAGAAAGCAGAAUGAGAGAACUAAAAGGUAAUCUGAAAGAGAUGGUAGAUCCCAGCAUAUCAUAGGCUCAGGUAGAGAACGUAGUCAAAGUGGUAAGGAUCGAACUUCGCUACAUGGCUAAGAUUCCAUCUACAAGGCCCUCCAUGAAAAUGGUGGUUCAUAUGCUUGAAGAGGUUGAACCUUGUAACUUUAUUGACAUUGUUGUCAAGAAAGAAUGUGAAAACUAAAAGUAAUCAGCAAGAUUUGCAUCAUUACUACUGUAGUAGCAAAAGGAGAGCAUUUAUUGAGUUCUAAAGCACACAAUAUUCUUUACUUCUCACGGAUGGUUCAAACAUUAUUCUUUACAGCUUUUGGAGUUGUUCUAAUGGAAGUACCAACAGGAAAGAAGCCCAUUUUCUAAGACACCUGCCAGGAAAGCAACAAGAAAGCAGAAUGAGAGAACUAAAAGGUAAUCUGAAAGAGAUGGUAGAUCCCAGCAUAUCAUAGGCUCAGGUAGAGAACGUAGUCAAAGUGGUAAGGAUCGAACUUCGCUACAUGGCUAAGAUUCCAUCUACAAGGCCCUCCAUGAAAAUGGUGGUUCAUAUGCUUGAAGAGGUUGAACCUUGUAACUUUAUUGACAUUGUUGUCAAGAAAGAAUGUGAAAACUAAAAGUAAUCAGCAAGAUUUGCAUCAUUACUACUGUAGUAGCAAAAGGAGAGCAUUUAUUGAGUUCUAAAGCACACAAUAUUCUUUACUUCUCACGGAUGGUUCAAACAUUAUUCUUUACAGCUUUGGAGUUGUUCUAAUGGAAGUACCAACAGGAAAGAAGCCCAUUUUCUAAGACACCUGCCAUGAAAGCAGAAUGAGAUAUCUAAAAGGUAAUCUGAAAGAGAUGGUAGAUCCAAACAUAUCAUAGGCUCAGGUGGAGAACGCAGUCAAAGUGGUAAGGAUCGCACUUCGCUGCACGACUAAGAUUCCAUCUACAAGGCCCUCCAUGCAAAUGGUGGUUCAUAUGCUUGAAGAGGCUGAACCUUGUAACUUUAUUGACAUUGUUGUCAAGAAAGAAUGUGAAAACUAAAAGUAAUCAGCAAGAUUUGCAUCAUUAAUACUGCAGUAGCAAAAGGAGAGCAUUUAUGGAGUUUAGUGUUAGGUCAUAAUAGGAUUUCAAGUCUUUCUCAAAAAGCUUGAAAUGCCAAAGGAGAGCAUUUAUGUUAAAAACGACCUCCUGCUUUAGCUAUGAAGUUCUACCUUAUUCAAACUUUACAGAAAGAUGAGAUUAAAGUGAAAAAUAUUCCUUAAACUCAAGAGCACGGCUGUAUAGAAACUUGUGACACGGUUGUACAAUUUAUAGAACAGAUUCAAAUCAAAUAAGGGCAUAAAACAAAAUAUACACUCAGAAAUUCAUAUUCUGCACAAGUUUGCAGUCAACAGAAAUUUAUAGAACAGAUGCCAAAGGAGAGCAUUUCUGUUAAAAACCAAAUACCAUAUAAAAUGGUUGUUAAACGCAACGUAAUACAAACAUUGUAAAAAAAAAUACAAUGAGUAAAUAUUCUAUAAACAGUUUACAGUAGGAUAAAUAAAAAGAGAAGGAAAGUCUUGAAGUUGAAGAAGAAAAGUCUUCAACUUAGAAUUGUCAGUGAGAUGACUUUAGUGAUCUUGCAAACAACACAAGACACAAUUUUAUAAGCAUCUUCCACCUGCAUUAAAACAAUGAACCUUUUUUACAUCGUGAUCAUGCAAACAACUCAAGCACAAACCAAGAAAGUAUAAAACUAUUACUACGUACCAAGACGGGUACUAAUCUUGUAUGCUCGACUUCUGAAUGUAUGAAAUUGGAUUGGUACAUGUUAAUCUAUUGUGACCUGUUUCUUUACAUCGACCACAUUUAUGCAAUUUUGGUGCUUCACCGACACUUGGAAUCCUAUUUUACUUCGGUCGACCAACUCUUUUCACUACUUUCGGAGGUAAGAUAGUCAUAUGUACAUAUUCUUCAGUUGUCUUCCAUUCCGAUUAAUUCCCAACUGGGUAGAUGGCGUCUGAAUAUGCUGCCAACAAACAUUCAUUAGUGUAAUAGUUAGCACAUAAGCUAUAAACAUUUAUAUUGCAAUCCCGUGCAACAGCAAUGACAUGUGCGCAUGGUAGUUGCUCAGCUUGAAACUCCUUACAAGUGCACUCUUGAGUAUGAAGAUUUACGACCUCCUCUUUAUCUAAAUCUUUAACAUGGCACUAGAAGAAAACUACCCUACAAUGACAGUUAUAUAUCUCAAAAAAUGAAUGGAAGAAAAAAAAACUGUCACGAAAUAUAAAAUUUCGCGUUUUUGGCGGGAAAAGACGGAAUUUUUCGGAAAACACUUUUCGUGACAGUUAUUAACUGUCAUAGAAUGUUAGGGUUAAAAUUUUUUUCUUUUUUCCUUUUCUUUUCUUUUUCCUUUUUCUUUCUUUUCCCUAUUUCCUUCUUCCUCCCCGUGCGUCCUUCCCCUUCUCCCCAGCCGCAACCGCCGCGCCUCUUCUCCUUCCUCUCGUACGCCGCGACGACUCCACCGUCUCCUUCUCCUUUCCUUCUCUUUUCUCUUUUCCUUCCGCCGUUCCCUUCCGUCUUUCUUUCCGCCGCAGCCCAGCCGCCCCAUCCUUCCCCUUCUCUCCGUUCGCGAAGCAAAACCGCCACCGCUCCGCCGGUAAGCUUCUCUUCCUUAUCUCUUUCUCUCUCUCUCUCUCUCUAUGAAGUUCUUCAUUGUCUCCAUUGGAUUGUUUCUUGAUUUCAGUUUAUCCCAAUUUCAUUGGAUUGUUUCGCCGGUAAGAUCUUAUCCUCAUUUCCAAAAGAGAUGUCAUGGCUAGUGUCGAUUUCUUUGCAAUCUUUAAAAUUAUUUUCUUUGUUUUCAAGAAUUUGUGUAGGUUGGUGAUGAAACAUUUUGGUAGCUUACAAUGUGUUUGAUGAAAUGCCUCAAUGAAGCAUUUGGUUGAUUUUUGAUUGAUUUUUGUUCGUUCGAAUUAGGAAAUCAAGGCCAAAGGAGAUGUCAUGGCUAUGGGCUGAAGCUUUGAGAAAAAAAGAAUGAAAAAUGAAAUGUGAGAUCUUAAACUUUGUACUUUGCCUUAAGUUGUGUCAAACUAGUCAAUAAAGUAACUUAACUACCAAUUUGCCUUUAAGUGCCGGGUUGUUGGGAUUUGUUUGCUGUAAUUUGUCUAGGGUUAUGUGUGUUUGUGAUGUGUUGUUAGUGAGUAUGUUGAAUUUUGUGUUCGAGCUUCCAGAUGUGAAACAUUUUGGUAGCUUACAAUGUGUUUGAUGAAAUGCCUCAAUGAAGCAUUUGGUUGAUUUUUGAUUGAUUUUUGUUUGUUCGAAUUAGGAAAUCAAGGCCAAAGGAGAUGUCAUGGCUAUGGGCUGAAGCUUUGAGAAAAAAAGAAUGAAAAAUGAAAUGUGAGAUCUUAAACUUUGUACUUUGCCUUAAGUUGUGUCAAACUAGUCAAUAAAGUAACUUAACUACCAAUUUGCCUUAAGUGCCGGGUUGUUGGGAUUUGUUUGUUGUAAUUUGUCUAGGGUUAUGUGUGUUUGUGAUGUGUUGUUAGUGAGUAUGUUGAAUUUUGUGUUCGAGCUUCCAGAUGUGAAGUAUAUAAAAUGUUAUUUGUAAUUGUUUUAAACUUGAAACGCCUUUGAUAUUUGUUAUUCUCUUGUGUCAUAUGAUUAUGUUUCAGGACAUCUACUGAUUAAAAUCAUGAGACCUCAUGCAUACGUGUAUACGCAUAGUUAUUAUAUUUAAAAGUUAUGAUUUUGGUAAUCAUCAUCAUGGGUAAAGUUUCAGUAGUGGUUUACAUGACACCAAGAGUUAAGAUUAAAGAGAAAACGAGUGAGUUGUACACUUAUAGAAUGGUAUUACUUUGGUUUAAGGACUUGUGAAUGAUCUAUAUGUUUUCUUUGUAAGAAGGAUAACAAGGUGGAGUCGAGGUCCAGCAAGGGUGCAACACUGAAUGAGCUGGUUGAGCUCAAAGGUUGUUCUUCCAGCCUAUUUUUCGAGGUUAGAACCUUUUCAUUGCACUGUCGUAAUCUGGAAUUUUUAAGGUACAAUGUUUUCUAAUUUUUAUUUUUAAUUAGAUAUAGGAUGAUAACAUUUUGGUUUUAUUCUUGUGGUGUAUAACUUAUAAGGAUGUUUUAACUAUCCUUUUGCUUUUCAUUAUAUUACUUUCCUAUAUGGCCUUCUCAUCAUGUUUGUACAUUGCGAUCAUAUUUUUCCACUCAUUGAUAUUUUUUUCUCUAAUUCCAGUGCAGAAAACAUAAAGAUCUUUAUCUAUGUAUGGCAAAGUGCCCUAGUGGGCCAUCUGUGAAGUUUUUAGUUAAUGCCAUUUGUUUUCUCUAUUGUUGAUGACCAUAUCUGGUUCUGGAAUUACCAGGUAUGCUUUAUUUAUUUCCUACUUGCUACAGAAUUUAAUACUAACCAUGAUCAUGCUUUAUUUAUAACCAUCACUCUGUUAGCAACACCACUUGAGGAACAAUGCGUGUUUUUAGUGAAGUACGUUAAGAUAUAUAUAGAUAAAUGUCAGAAGUGUCGUUCUUAAGAUAUGAGGCAUACAAUCGUCAUUAGGAAAGGAAUUUGGCAUGGCAAAAAUUAAUUGAUUUGAAGAGUUUGAGAUUAAGCAAAUUUUGGGGAAUAGUUUUUAGGAGUCCUAGUUGGGGAUCUUGCUAUUUUUCUUUCUUAUGUCAAUGAUUUCAUUGUUUUUCUAGUUCACUGUAUACAUUUCCAUAUAAUUGAUUGUUAUCCUUUAAACUUACAUGUUCAAUUUUCCAUCAACUGUUGGUAUGAGAACCCACUUUAUGUAUCGCCAAACCAGGUUAGAUUGAUUGUCCAACUUUUUGAUCAUUUGGGAUUACACUUCUUCACACUAUUAUUUAAUGAUCGUUUGCCUAAUGUAGUCCUCAUGUGCUUCUUUUCAUUUCAUGGAAUCAAGUGUUGAAGUUCUUGUUUGUGUUCUGUAUUUUGUUGAGACAUUGAUUUAGUUACUCAUUGACUGUACGUAUGUGUUAUGGAUACUUAUAUUCAUGUUGUCUUUGUAGGUUCAACUGGAGUCGACAACUUCAUGAGUUUUCUUUCAAAGAACAUUUCCAGAGACGAACAUUCUCGGUUGGUCGUUUAUGCUUCUGCAGAAAAUCUUGUUAGAUGUAUUCUAAUGCUAUUUAAAAUAUUUUUUGAUUAAGGGCUAGUAUUUCGUACAUGUGGAUUAUUGAAACUUGUAUUAAGAUGUACAAAUAUUAUAAAUCGUAUUAUAGUGUAUAUAUAUUAAAGUGUUGGCUAUUUUUUUGUACAUUGGUGUGAAACUUGUAUAAUUUCAAAUUUGUCAUUCUCAGCUACAUUAUUGUCAUUCUAAUGGUUCGUGUAAUGGUGGAGUUGCAAUAUAUUUGACUGGAAAAAAAUGUCGUCACUAGCAAAACAAUGACAUUUAAUGUUAUCGAAAAACUGUCACGAUUGCACAAUCGUUGAUUGGAAAAAAAUGUCGUCAAUAACUAAACAAUGACAUUUUUACAAAAAAAAAACUGUCGCGAAAAACAUAUUCAUGACAAUUAAUACAUGUCACGAUAAUAGAAUUCGUGACAAUUAUUUAACUGUCGUUAAUAAAGAAAUGAUGAUAGUUAUUGAAUGUCAUAAAAUAAAUUAUGACAGUUAUUGAAUGUCGUUGAAUGUUGAUUAACGACAUUUAUUUCAUGUCAUAAAAUAACCUAUUGCGACAGUUUUCAAAAACUGUCGUCGAAGGCCUUUCCAUGACUCCCGCUUCUAUGACUGAAAAUAACUGUCGCGAAAUCCGUUCGCGACAGUAAAUAACUGUCGUCGUAGACCACUUUUGUACUAGUGUGGAAUUGGUAACAAUCAAUUGGGUUGACUUUCAUUGUCAAAGCUCGUUCUUGUUUCUUUUGUAGAACUAACUCUGCUCAUUUAGUCAAUGUAGACGUCACUUUAAUGCCUUCUUCUCGACGCUCCCAAAACCAACGUUGUAGCAAAGCUCGAACAUGUUCAAGGAAUGAAGCAAUAGACAAAUCUCUAGGUUCUUUCAAUAUAGAAUUCAUGGAUUCUACUAUAUUUGUUGUCAUCAUAUUAUAUCGUCUUCCUGGACAGUGAAAACGAGACCAUCGUGUUAUUCCAACAUCGUUUAAAUAUUUUCCUGAAUCAUUAGGAAAUGCAAGAAUACUUCUCCACGCUUCUGAGAACGUUGAUUUACGAUAUGUUCUAGAUGCAUUGUAAAACAAAGUAGCUAUAGUGUCAUUCUUGUAUUUAUCAUUGAAAUUUUGAGUCAAGUGUUGGACACAAAGUCCAUGGAAUGCGGAGGGAAAAACCGAUGCAAUACACUUAAAAAAACAUGUUUUCCGAUCUGUCACGAAGCCUAGAUUAGGCACCUCUCCUAUUGCACCUUUCAAUUUCUCUAAGAACCACUGUAUUGAAGCAUCUGUUUCUCUGUCCAUCACUCUAAAGGCAAGAGGAUAAAUUUGAUUGUUACCAUCCAAGCAAACAACAACUAUCAACUGACCCCGAUAUUUGUUCUUAAGGAAUGUUCCAUCCAUGACUAUAACCGGUCUAAUGCAGUUUAAGAAUCCUUGAACACAUGGACCAACAGUCAUAAAAAGAUAUUUGAAGAAACGAUCAUCUUCAAGUUCCAUGUGAAAUAUUGUACCUACAUUUGCAAGUUUGAGAGCUUCACCAUAUCUAAGCAAUAGAUUAUAUGACUCUUCAGGACACCCUCGCACUCGUUCAUACGCAUUUUCUCUAGCGCGCCAUGCUUUUUCAUAACUCAUAUUUAUGCCAUAGUCUUGCCUCAUGUCUUCUAUGAUAUCACAUGGUUUGUAUAGACGACGGACUCCCUUAGACUUUGACUUUAUUAAUUCUCCAACAACCCAAGAUUUUGCUUGCAUAUAGUCACGAUUCAAAACGUCAAGAGAACACGAAUGAACUUUGACAUACUUUUUAAUCUUAAAUAUAUUUGAAUCCUUCAAUCUCAUCGCUCGCAGUCUCCAACCACACUUGUUGUCAAUGCAUCUAACAAAGAGAACCUCUUUUGUAGACUUUUUUACUACAAACUGAAAGAAAAAAAAAUUCAUCGCCAAGACACUUAAUCUCAUUGACAAAUCUUUUUUGGAAAAAAAUAUUUGUCCUACAUCAAACUCCUCACUUGUAGAGUUUUCUUCAGACCAAUCAUUCCUAUCUGUCUUCAACUUUUGGCUAGAAGAGCUGUAACGAGCUUUAGAUUUUCCUUUGCAAUCUUUUGUAGGAGCAUCUCUAUGUUGUGGGAUGUCAAAUGAUUCACUAUUCAUCUCUACUGGCUCCCAUGUAAAAGUCUCAUCUUUCGAAUCAUAUGACUCAUAUGAUUCCCAUAUAGCCGAAGUGGUCCCUAUCACGUUAUCACACAAGCCAACUUCAACUUCACGAACAUGAACUUCAUUCUCAUUUAAUGUAUCCAUUACAAUUGGAGGAUGAGGGUUUAAGUUAUGAGCUUGGUUGCUGCCAGAUACUGAAUUGUAAUCUUUGCUUACCACUUUUUUGCUUUGAUUACUUUUAGGCUCAAAUGAGACGUAUAAAGGGACCUCUAAUGGAUUUUCACUAAGAAGAUAAAACUUCAAAUCACGGUCAUUGCUUAACUCAAAUGGAGGAGCUUCGUGUUCCACUUUUAUCUCAUAUAUGCAUCUUAUCAUUACGUCGAACUUUGAAUGGUCAACUUCUGCAAGGUCAUAUAAUUCUGCCUGUAAAUCUUUAUGUGUUAUUUCUUUACUGACAACGAUGCCUUUUAACAUGCCUCCUUCGUAUUUUCUUCGCCUCUCAUCCCACGUACCACCGCAACGCACUAACAUGGGAACAUGUGACAUCCUUAAACCACCUUAUACUUUUCAAUUGCUGCAAAAAAUGAUUUGAAGUUAGAAUUUGACAUAUCACAUAAACAAAAUUUAUUAAAAAACAGUAGGCAAAUGCUAAAUAAAACGUGCAUAGUCACAUCCUACAUGUUUACGAUAUUGACAUCUAUAAAAUGUUUAGGAUAUUGCGAAAUACAAAAACCAAUAGUUAAAAGUCACCCUAAAUCAAUUCAUUUCAUAUUAAACAUUUCAAUUUAAGAACCCGCGAGAUGUUUGCGAGAUGUUUGCGAGAUAAAAAAUAAUAAUAAUAACUUGCUAACAUCCUUUGAAAAAUCUCUAAAACAACCUUAAAUCAACCCUAAAUCAACUUGAAACAAUAAAAAAUUAUAUUUGAUUUAUACAUUUAAGAUGCAAAUAUAUAUACAUAUAACACAACAGGAUUCAGAUUCGGAUUAAAAAAAAAAUUAAAACAAACCACAAUGCAUGAGAUGUUCGCCGAAGUAGAUGAUGAACGACACCGGAGUAAAGCGGAAAGUUGACAAACUUUUGAGAGAGGAGAAGAAUUGCAAAUGGGUUUUUCUUUUUGCUUUUUCCUUUACAUAAUCUAUGAGAAGGAGAAAUGCAACAAAUGAGUUUUUCUUUUUUCUUUACAAAAACUAUGAGACUGCAACAAAAGGAUUUUUUUUUUUUUUCCCCUUUACGUAAUCUAUGAGGAGAGGAGAAGAAGGCUGCCUUCGAAAUUCUGUUUUUUUCCUUCAGGUGAAUGACAUUGAAGAGAGAGAGAGAGGGGUUGGAAAAGAAGAGAAGAGCAAAUGUGAAUUGAAAUUAAAUGAGGGUAUUUUCGUCAUUUCACCUCCAAUUUGUCCUAUAUGUCAACUUUUUUACAAUCAAUCCUAAAAGUCUUUAUCUACCCCAUUUUUGGCCUCUUUUUGUCAAUUCCCCAAAUAUCUUCUCAAACACAACUUGAUCAGUGCUUUCAAAGAAAAACUGAUAACUUAUCUCAUCUUUGGGAUCGACGAUAUGGGCAUUUGAGACACAAAGGUAUUACUAUACGUAAAAAUGGUAUAUGGGCUUCCUCAACUUGUAGUCUCAAAUGCUACAUGGAUUGAUUGUAUCAAAGGGAAACAACAUCGAGAUGUAAGGAUUCUACUUGAUUACUUCACUGUUUCUUAUAGACCCCCCAUAGUAAAGUUUCUGAUAGACCCUCCACAGUAAAUGUGUAUUCACGUUGGAAUAAAAGUGGGAAGAAGAAAGAAUGAUUGAGAGUUAGUUAGUAAUUUCCCCUACGGUGGGCCCUUAGGAGUAUGACGGUUAAAGUGGGGCCAAGUAUUCUGUUAGCUUUCUUAGUGUUUGCCUAUUUAGGUAUUGUGAAUGUUGGGGGUGGUUAUCUUUUUGCUAAAUGAUUGUGGUAUAGACUCUCAUUAGAGUAGUGUGGAGAGAUUGGGGAACUCUCAAAUCCUUCCCCAUAGUUGAUAAAUAAAAUUGUGGCUAAGGCCUUAACAAUUUUGGUAUCAGAGCCACCUGUCCUGGAAUGGUUGGUAAGAUGGAAGCUCGAGUAAUCGGUUUGGAAGAAAGUUUGGAGGAAGUAACCACGGGGAUGACUGAAAUAGAAAGUAAAGUAGAGGCAAAAUUUUUGCAAGCAGAAGAACGACAAUUAGCAUUUGAAAGGAAGAUGGAAAAACAGUUUGCAGAAGCAGAAGUUCGAAGGACAAUGGCCGAGCAAAAAAUUGAGAAUAAUCUGUGAAAGUUGAGUGAGGACAUGAAAUUGUUAAUACAAGGGAUGGGAAUGAUGGGAAGUGCAUCCAAAGGAUCCACGUCUAGUGAAAGAACAAUUACAGACAAGGGAAAGGGUAUAAUGGAUGAAGAACAAGCACAUGAAGAAAAAAGCGAAGUGAAAACUAACCUGGUUACGAAUGAAGGAUUUGGAGUACCUUGUGCACCAAACCAGCGGGAGAUACCCCUCUUCGACAUGAGAUUAAGGAAAUUAGAGGUACCAAUAUUUAAGGGAGAAGAAGAAGAAAAUGUGGAUGGAUGGUUACAUCGCGUUGAGCGUUAUUUUGUGGUGAAUAGAUUGACGGAGAGGGAUAAAUUGGAUGUUGCGGUUCUUUGCUUGGAGGGAGAGGCGUUGGAUUGGUAUCAGUGGAAAGAUGUUCGACUGAAGAUUAAUAGUUGGGAGGAAUUCCAACAGCUUUUAUAGGCAUGAUUCAAGUCGUCUGAUCAGGGGGAUAAGCACGCGAGGUUGAUGAAACAGCAGCAAGAAACCACCGUAAGGGAAUAUCGACGACGAUUUGAGCAGUUUUCGGCCGACCUUAAGGAUAUGAGCGAUGCAACUCUAGAAAGUAAAUUUAUGUGUGGGCUAAGGGAAGAAAUCCAAAGUGAGAUUCGUAAAUUGAAUCCAGUGGGCCUAGAAGCAAAAAUGUUAAUGGCCCAAGUAAUAGAAGAUGACCAAGUAGUCCAAUUAAAAAGAAUACAUGAGGUAGGUGCAAACCCUAGUUUGUUAAAUAAAACAUCUGGUAAUGGGCCAAAUGGGUCAGGAAAUCAAACCGAGUCAAAGGUAAUGGACUGGGUUGCAACAUCUAGAAACAUUACGAUUAAUCCUAACUGAAAUUCGUCUUCAUCAUCGACAACAAUCACUUCCCCUUACGAUUUUAACGCGAAAAACUCGAUGGCUCAACCUUAUUACCGAAUGACUGAGAGUUAAAUGAGAAUGAAGAAGGAAAAGGGACUAUGUUUUCGAUGUGACGAAAAAUUCAGUCUGGGGCACCGUUGCAAAAGACGAGAAUUAAAUAUCAUUGCUAUUCAAGAAGGGGAGGACUUAAGUGGGGAAAUUGAUAAAGUAGAAAAGGAGACUGAAGAUGAGAAUGAGCAAAUCAAUACUGAGAUUGCGAAUUUGUCUUUACAUUCGUUGGUAGGUUUUAGUUCUCCUAAAACCAUAAAAAUAAAAGGCGAAAUCAGGAAUCGCGAAGUUGUCGUGUAGAUGGGGGAGCUACACAUAACUUUAUUUCGGAGGAGGUGGUCAAGGAAUUAAAAAUUCCAAUGGAAACUUUAGAUGCUUAUGGCGUUGUUUUGGGAACCGGGGGUGUAGUUCGAGCAACAUGAAUGUGUAAGAGUGUGAAUCUGACAAUCGCUAAUUUAUCGAUCACUCAUGAUUUCCUUCCUCUACCACUUGGGAGUGCAUAUGUUAUUUUAGGAGUUACAUGGUUGGAAACUUUGGGGAAAGUAAUUUUCGAUUAAAAGUUAUCAGAGAUGGAAUUUUCAUUGGGAGAAUUUUUGGUGAUUCUACAAGGGGACAGAAGCCUCGUAAAAUCACAGGUGUCACUAAAAUCAAUGAUAAAAACUUUUGAGAAGGAAGAUCAAGGAGUGUUAAUCGAGUUGAGUACAAUCGAACAAUAGGGAGCGGAAGAGUCAAAGAAUAAUUUAGCGGACUGUCUGAGUAAUCUAAAACCCGAAGUUCAAAGAAUUCUUUUGUCUUUUGGUAGUGUGUUUGAAUCCAGAAAUCAGUUGACACCACCUCGCAAUCAUGAUCAUGCUAUUGAAUUAGAGCCAGGGGCCCGGGCGGUGAAUGUGCGGCCUUAUCGUUAUCCCCAAUUCCAGAAAGAUGAAAUUGAAAAAUUAGUAAAGGAAAUGUUGUAAGCCGAAAUUAUCCAGCCAAGCAAAAGUGCCUUUUCAAGUCCGGUGCUCCUUGUAAAGAAGAAAGAUGGUAGCUGGUGAUUCUACGUGGAUUACCGAGCACUGAAUCUUGGCACCAUACCAGAUAAGUAUCCAAUUCCCGUUGUUGAUGAACUACUAGAUGAAUUAUUCGGGGCAACCAUAUUUUCAAAAAUUGAUCUAAAGUCAGGCUAUCACCAGAUUAGAGUGCGCGUCGCCGAUGUUCACAAAACGGCGCUUCGUACCCAUGAAGGGCACUACGAAUUUCUCGUGAUGCCAUUUGGGUUGAAGAAUGCUCCGACCACUUUUCAAUCAGUAAUGAAUGAUAUUCUCCGCCCAUACUUACGCAAAUUUGUUUUGGUUUUCUUCGACGAUAUCCUAAUCUACAACAAGUCACUAGAAGAACAUUUGCAGCAAUUGGUCGUGGUUUUAGAAACCUUAGUAGUUCAUAAACUGGUGGCGAAUUUUAAAAAAUGUCAAUUCGCAGUAGAUCGAAUUGAAUAUUUGGGUCACAUUAUCUCAUCUGAUGGGGUGGCGACGGAUCCAACGAAAAUAAUGGCUAUGGUUAAAUGACCAGCACCCAAGAAUGUGAAGGAAUUACAAGGUUUCUUGGGUCUUACAGGUUAUUAUCGGAAAUUUGUGGCAAACUAUGGUUCUAUUGCACUACCCUUGACACAAUUGUUAAAGAAAGGAAAUCUUCAGUGGAAUGAGACAGCAAAAAAUGCGUUCCAACAAUUAAAAUUUGCUAUGAUGUCGGUACCGGUGUUAGGUAUUCCAGAUUUUCCCAAGGUUUUGUGCUGGAAACUGAUGUUUCAGGUGUUGAUAUUGGGGCUGUCCUAAUGCAUCAUCAACGUCCAGUGGCUUUUUUUCAGUCAAGCUUUGCCCGAUACCCAUAGGUUUAAAGCUGUGUAUGAACGGGAACUUAUGGCAAUCGUGCGGGCUGUUCAAAAAUGGUGCCCAUAUCUGUUAGGUAAGCCUUUUGUGGUGCGUACAGAUAAAAAAAGUUUGAAGUUUCUUCUUGAACAACGAGCCAUUGGGGGAGAAUAUCAUAGAUGGAUCACUAAACUAUUGGGGUAUGAUUUUGUGAUUGAAUACAAGAAAGGAAUGAAAAAUAAAGUGGCUAAUGCUUUAUCACGAUUACCACCGGUAUUUGAAUUGGGCCUCAUAAGUGUUGUGAGCGGGCUCAAUCCUUCGAUUUUCAUUGAUCAAGUGGCUGGGAAUGAAGCUCUGAAUAGUAUUCGGUUAUCCUUGAUAAAUGGACAGCCAACCCCGGAGGGAUAUUCACUACAUAGAGAGGUUCUAUGCUAUCACGGCCGGUUGGUUCUUUCGGAGGAUUCCCCUACUAUCCCCUUAUUAUUAGCGGAGUUUCAUAACAGCCCGAUAGGGGGACAUCAUGGCGCGUUGACAACAUAUCAAAGGCUAGCAAGGGAGGGAUAUUCGGUUAUCCUUGAUAAAUGGACAGCCAACCCCGGAGGGAUAUUCACUACAUAGAGAGGUUCUAUGCUAUCACGGCCGGUUGGUUCUUUCGGAGGAUUCCCCUACUAUCCCCUUAUUAUUAGCGGAGUUUCAUAACAGCCCGAUAGGGGGACAUCAUGGCGCGUUGACAACAUAUCAAAGGCUAGCAAGGGAGGUAUAUUGGCGAGGUAUGAAAGCACACAUCCGCACGUAUGUUGCCGAAUGUUCGGUUUGUCAACAAGCCAAAUAUUUGUCACUAACUCCAGCCGGUCUUCUUCAAGCAUUACCCAUUCCAGACCGUGUAUGGGAGGAUAUUAGUAUGGAUUUUAUUGAGGGUCUUCCUAAAUCUGAGUGCUAUGAUGUCAUAUUGGUGGUUGUGGAUAGACUUUCCAAGUAUGCACAUUUCAUUCCUUUGAAGCAUCCUUUUGGUGCAAAAGUUGUAGCUGCUGGUUUUAUGCGGGAAAUCAUUCAUUUGCAUGGAUGCCCCCGAAGUAUAGUGUCGGAUCGUGAUCGUAUUUUCACAAGUCUAUUUUGGGAGGAGUUGUGGCGGUUGUUGGGAACUUAGUUAAGACUAAGCACCACCUACCAUCCCCAAACAGAUGGUCAAACCGAAGUUGUCAAUCGAGGGGUGGAGACGUAUCUACGAUGUUUUGCUAUGAACACACCUAAACAGUGGGCUAAAUGGCUAGCUUGGGUUGAAUUGAGCUAUAAUACAACUGUCCAUACAGCCAUAUUGAUGACCCCCUUCGAGGCUCACUAUGGUCGACCACCUCCCUCUAUAUUACCAUGCGUGAAGGAGUCGAGCCCGGUGAAUGAAGUAGAUCAUUUGAUGAAGGAAAGAGAUGGAAUUCUGAGAAUUUUGAAGGCCAAUUUACUGAAGGCACAACAGCGAAUGGUCAAAUACGCCAAUGUUAAACGACGGGAGGUACAGUUUGAGGUGGAUGAUUGGGUUUAUGUGAAGUUACGCCCUUACCGCCAGUCCUCUCUCACCCAUUUUAAGCACCCCAAAUUGGCCCCAAGAUUCAUUGGCCCAUUUGUCAUUGUGGCACGAAUUGGUCUGGUUGCAUAUCGUUUGGCUCUUCCCAAGGAGUCGCUUAUUCACCCGGUCUUUCAUGUUUCGAUUCUUUAAAAAGUCGUAGGUUCAAACAGGCCUCUAUUUCCAAUUCCAAAAGAUUUGGCUGCUGAUUUGUCGAUGCAAUUGUCUCCGGUAGAGGUGUUGGGAGUUCGCAAAACCAGAGAAAAGGGGGACAAGUUAGAAGUUUUGAUUUUCUGGAGUGACAGUACACCUGAAAGUGCUACAUGGGAACAAGCCACUCUUAUUCAAGAACAAUUUCUUGAAUUCCACCUUGAGGACAAGGUGGCUCUUUGGGGGGCGGGCAAUGAUAGACCCCACAUAGUAAAGGUGUAUUCACGUAGGAAUAAAAGUGGGAAGAAGAAAGAAUGAUUGAGAGUUAGUUAGUAAUUUCCCUUGCGGUGGGCCCUUAGGAGUAUGACUGUUAAAGUGGGGCCAAGUAUUCUGUUAGCUUCCUUAGUGUUUGCCUAUUUAGGUAUUAUGAAUGUUGGGGGUGGGUAUCUUUUUGCUAAAUGAUUUUGGUAUAGACUCUCAUUAGAGUAGUGUGGAGAGAUUGGGGAACUCUCAAAUCCUUCCCCAUAGUUGAUAAAUAAAAGUGUGGCUAAGGCCUUAACAAUUUCUCCCUUACAAUGGCAUAAACAGAGGCAACACUCUGUUAUCUUUAUUUAUAUAUAGCCAAAAUGAGUACAGUAGUCAUAAGAAUUCAAAAGAAACAAAGAACAAUAAAGACAAACCCAACUUCCUCUUGGGAAAACUGGAUAUACUCCUAGGCUAAGCAGCUGCCAACUUAAUAAGGAUAAAAAUAAACCUCCCUCCCCUAGACCUAAAAGACCUAUUUAUAUUCCUCCUCUCAUCUUUCUCUUAUUUCUGUGCCUGGGCCCCACACGCACGAUCUCCUCCUCCUUUUCCUUCAUCAUUAAUUAUUUGUCGAUUUACUUUUUUGUCCCUAAUUUGAUAUGUGUAAAUGAUUGAGGGUCUUACAAUACCCCGAGGUUCUAAGUUCACCUUGUCCUCAAGGUGAAAGUGAGGAAACUGCUGGUUCAAUAGGUAGACUGAUUCCCAUGUUGCUUCACUGUCUGGUAAGUUCUUCCACUUGACCAACCACUCAUUGCCUCCUAACUCCUUGUUCCACCGUAUUCCCAGCACGUUUUUCGGCCACAAUUGUAAUUCAAAAUCCUCAGUUAGGAUGGGUUAUUGUUGUUGGACUACAUGUUGUUUUCCCAACUUCAGUUUCAAUUGAGAAACGUGGAAGACAUUGUGAAUGGCAGCCUCCGGCGGUAGUUUCAACCGAUAGCGACCUCUCCUAUCUCCUCAAUAAUCUCAUACAGCCCAUAAAAUUUCGAGGAUAGCUUUUCACAUUUCUUUCUAGCUAGUGAUCUUUGUCGAUAGGGUCGUAGUUUCAAAUACACUUCGUCACCGAUUUUGAAUCUGAGCUCCCUGCGAUUCCGGUCUGCCAUUUUCUUCAUUAUGUUUUGAGCUAUGCAUAGGUUUUCUUUCAAUGCAUUGAUUGCUAGGUCUCUCUCCUUCAACAUGACUUCUACGUCAUUGUUAGGAGAUUUCUUCCAUCCGUACAACAACAAUGGCGGGGGAAUUCUUCCAAAGAUCGAUUGGUAAGGAGUAGUUUUGGUGGACGCAUGGAAGGUUGUGUUAUACCAUAAUUCCCCCCAAGGAAUUAGUUUAUCCUAUUUCUUCGGUUGCUCAUUGCAAAAGCAUCUCAAAUAAGUCUCUAGGCAUCUGUUUACUCUCUCGGUUUGUUCAUCGGUUUAGGGAUGGAAUGUCGUGCUUCUCUUCAAAAUUGUGCCCAUGGUGGUGAACAACUCUUUCCAGAAAUUGCUAAGGAAGAUCUUAUUGCGAUCAGCAAUAAUGGACUUGGGUAUUCCACGUUUGCUGACCACUUUUUCCAAAAAUAUGGAAGCCACUUGCUUGGCUGUGUACGGGUGUUUAAGAGGCAAGAAAUAGGAGUACUUACUUAGGCGAUCGACGACUACCAUAAUCAUGUUGUAUCCUCCUGCUAUUGGCAGACCUUCGAUGACGUCCAUGGUCCAAUCUUCCAAUAUCUUGUCGGGGAUAGGAAUGGGUUGAAGAACUCCAACAGGCUUGGUAGCUUCGAAUUUGUUGCAUUGACAUAUGUCACAUUCUUCCACAUAUCUCUUGACAUCAGCCCUCAUCCCCUUCCAAAAUAAUUCCCCACUCAUCCUUUUGUAGGUUCUCAAGAACCUCGAGUGCCCUCCUAAUAUGGAAUCAUGGAACGUGUGUAGAAGUCUCGGAAUGAGGGAAGAAUUACGCGACAGCACCAUCCUUCCUUUAUAUAACAACCUGCCAUUGUUCCACUGGUAUUUUCCACCUUGAUCCACCCCUCCCUUAAGUUCGGCAAUAAUUUUAUGAAGUUCUUGAUCCUUCUCGACUUCCUUCUCUAUCAGCUCUAUAUCAACUAUGCCUGUGGUUGUCAUUGUGUUUAACUCAGCUGAUUGGUCCUUCCUUGAGAGAGCAUCUGCCACUUUAUUCUGUAGACCCGGUUGAUACAAAAUCUCAAAGUCAUACCCUAAAAGUUUUGUGAGCCACUUUUGGAAUUGAGGUUGAACUUCCCUCAGUUCCAACAAAAAUUUUAGAUCCUUCUGAUCUGAAAUAAUUGUGAACCUUUUGCCCAGGAGGUAAUGCCUCCAUUUUUGCACCGAAAGGACAACCGCCAUCAAUUCCCUUUCAUAGAUCGACUUACCCUGGGCCCUUGGGGACAGUUUCUGGCUGAAGAAUGCGAUAGGAUGACCAUCUUGUGAUAAAACUGCGCCUAAACCUACUCCUGAAGCAUCAGUUUCAAUUGUCAAGGGCUGAGACCAAUCCAGCAAUGCUAACACGGGUAUGGUUGUCAUUGCUAGCUUCAGUUGAUCAAAAGCUAUCGUGGCUUCCUCAUUCCACUGGAAUGCAUUUUUAUGAAGUAGUUUAGUUAUGGGUGCAGCUAUCUCUCCAUAGCUUUUCACAAAUCUUCUAUAAUACCCAGUCAGUCCAAGGAAUCCUCUCAGCCCCGUUAUAUCUUUCAGUCGUGGCCAAUUGACCAUACUACGAAUCUUUUCCUCAUCAGCCUCCACUCCUCUAUUGGAAAUCAGAUGUCCCAAAUAUUGAACUUGGGAAUGAGCAAUUACACAUUUAGUUCUAUUUGCAAACAACUUAUGGUCCCUCAAAAUAGCGAAUAUCAUCCUUAAAUGUUUCAUAUGCUCAUCUAUGUCCAUACUAUAAACUAAAAUGUCAUAAAAAAAAAACCAGGACACACCUUUGAAGGAAUGGUUUGAACACCUCGUUCAUGAGAGAUUGGAAGGUGGCAGGAGCAUUCGUAAGACCGAAAGGCAUCACCAAGAACUCAUAAUGUCCUUCAUGCGUGCGGAAAGCUGUUUUCUCCACAUCUUCCUCCCUCAUCCUAAUCUUGUGGUAUCCAGAUUUAAGAUCUAACUUUGAGAAAACUGUCGCCCCAUGAAGUUCAUCUAAGAGUUCUUCAAUCACUGGGAUUGGGAAUUUGUCACCCGUAGUUACUUGAUUGAGUUUACGGUAGUCUACACAGAACCUCCACCCCUAUCUGUUUUCUUCACUAAGAGGAUUGGGCUCGAAUAUAGGUUGUGGCUUGGACGAAUAACCCCUGCUUGUAGCAUUUCUAAUACCAAUUUUUCAAUCUCCUCCUUUUGUACAUGCCCAUACUUAUAUGGUCGUACAUUAAUCGGUUUCUGAUCGGGCAAGGUCAAAAUACGAUGGUCUAUGGUUCUCUUUGGAGGUAAAUCUGUGGGCAGCCUAAAGAUGUCUGCAUAUUGCUCGAGCAGUCGUUGAACCAUGGGUAAUCCUUCCUCCUUUCCUUUCAAUUCGGCUUCUGUUUUUUAUUCUCCUUCACAUUCACACUUCAUAAUUUUGAAAUUCCAAGAGAAAUCCUUGGUCCCCAGAUUGCCAAGUUUUCUCUAAGGUUUUCAACGAACAUUCUAACUUUGUUAGAGAAGGGUCCCCUUUUAGGAUUAUUCUUCUACCCUUUGUCCAAAACGUCAUGGUUAGAGAUGGCCAGUGUACUUUCAUAGUCCCUGUCGAAUCUAACCAUUGUAUCCCCAACACCAAGUCUACCCUUCCUAAUUCUACCGCCAGGAAGUCUGCUACGAUCGUUAACUCUUUCAACUUCACUUUUACCCUCUUACAGAUCCCUCUCCCUUCACAUCGGGUGCCAUUCCUAAUGGUAACUCCAAAACGAGUCCCCGAAUCGAUGCUCAGUUAUAGUUCAUCUACCAACACUUGGCUGAUGAAGUUAUUGGUUGCACCGCUGUUAGUCAGGAUGACUACUUCCUUUCCAUUCACAUGUCCUUUUAGUUUCAUCGUUCCCUUGGACGUAACCCUCGUGAUCAACCUUAACUCAAUAGGGGUAUCCUCAUUCAAUUCCAAUUGAUUUAGUUCUAUUAUUUCGCCUGCCUCAUCCUCUGUAUUUGAUUCCCUUUCGUUGUCAUCUUCCUCAUUUAGUAUAAGGAGCAUCAACUCUCUUUUUUCUCUGCCUUUACAUCUAUGACGGGGGGAAUACUUUUCAUUACACCUGAAACAAAACCCUUUAUCCAGCCUUGCUCUAAAUUCCAUAUCCAACAGCCUUUUAAUUGGGGGAUCUUUUUUCUGGUAAUCACCUUUUAGUGGGAUAGUCACCUGCUUCAUGACAAAAUUUGUCUUUUUUUGUUUCUACCUUCUCACCUUUUCCUUGAAGUUUGCUACUGCUCUCACUUCUUUUGGGCUCAACUUUAUCCAUCUCUUCCAUCGCCAGUUUUAAUGCUAUAUUCCUAUCAUUCACCAGUUGAGCUUUCUUCAUACACUCCUCUAAAGUUUGAGGGUGCCUGCUGAUUACUUCUGCUUGCAGUGCUGGCUCAAGACCCGUAAAAAACGCAUCCAGCAGAACACUUUCGGCCAUGUCCGGGAGGGGGGCUGAAUAUGUAACAAACUUCUUAACAUAAUCACUGUAUGAGCCUUUUUGCUUGAUACGGAUUACUCUUGCUCCCAAGCUCUGCUGUCCCGUAUCAUUGAAAAAAUCAAACAUCCUCUCCUUCAAAUCCUCCCAAGAUUCCACCCUCUUUCGAUGAUGACUCCACCUAAACUAGUCAACCUCUUCCUGUCCAAAACUUACGACUGCUACUUUGACCUUCUCAGCUUCCGAUAAAUUGUUUAUAUCAAAGAAAUGUUCUGCUCGGUAAGCCCAUGAUUCAGGGUUCACCCCUGUAAACAAUAACAUUUCUAAUUUUUUGUACUUACUUCGGCCUGCGUUGCUUCCUCCCGACUCGGCUGUGGUUUCAGUAUCUUCCAGCUUUCCCUUCAGUUUCAACAUGGGGCCUUCCGUAGUCCCGGCUUCUUCUCUUUUUUUAGUGCCAUGGUUUUCUCUCAACUCGUCCGUCAUUCGAUCCAUCAAUUUCUUCAUUUCCAGCAUCAUCUCCUUCAGACUCAUAAUUUACUUUUCAGUUCCUUCUACCCGUUCUUCUAUUUGUCUUUGAGCCAUCAGACGUGUGAUCACCCCCAGUGUGGAGGCUCUGAUACCAAUAUGUAAGGAUUCUACUUGAUUACUUCACUGUUUCUCCCUUACAAUGGCAUAAACAGAGGCAGCACUCUGUUAUCUUUAUUUAUAUAUAGCCAAAAUGAGUACAGUAGUCAUAAGGAUUCAAAAGAAACAAAGAACAAUAAAGACAAACCCAGCUUCCUCUUGGGAAAACUGGAUAUACUCCUAGGCUAAGCAGCCGCCAACUUAAGGAUAAAAAUAAACCUCCCUCCCCUAGACCUAAAAGACCUAUUUAUAUUCCUCCUCUCAUCUUUCUCUUAUUUCUGUGCCUGGCCCCACACGCACGAUCUCCUUCUCUUUUUCCUUCAUCAUUAAUUAUUUGUCCAUCUACUUUUCUGCCCCUCCUUUGAUAUGUUUGAAUGAUUGGGGGUCUUACACGAGACCCAUUUCCAAAGAGGAGCAUUUGGAGAGCUAGACAAAGAUUAGAAUUUAUUCAUGCAGAUAUUUGUGGCCCGACCACUGCUACUUCCAAUAGCAAUAAGAGGUAAAUUUUGCUACUUAUUGAUGAUUACAGUAGGAAAGCAUGGGUUUACUUUUUGGUGGAAAAGUCAGAAUCUUUUAAUUCUUUCAAAUAUUCAAGUCUAUGGUUGAAAAAGAAAUUGAGUUGCCUAUUAAAUGUUUACACACUGAUAGAGGGGGAGAAUUUAAUUCAAUUGAGUUCAGUGAUUUUUGCAAACAAAGUGGGAUCAAAAGGCAACUAAUGGCCGCUUAUACUCCGCAACAAAAUGGGGUCGCAGAAAGGAAAAAUAGAACUAUAAUGAACAUGGUUCGUUCAAUGUUAUCAUAGAAGAAGUUACCCAAAACCUUUUGGCUGGAGGCAGUAAAUUGGACUAUUCAUGUCCUGAAUAAAUGUCCAACCUUGGCUGUUCAAGAUGUCACUCCAGAGGAGGCUUGGAGUGGAAUAAAACCAUAAGUGGAUCAUUUUAGAAUUUUUGGUUGCAUAGCACAUGCACGUGUCUCGGAUGGAAGAAGAACGAAGCUUGAUGAUAAAAGCAUUUCUUGUGUAUUGCUUGGAGUUAGUGAGGAGACAAAAGGCUACAGAUUAUAUGAUCCCAUUAAUAAAAAAGUUUUUGUGAGUAAAGAUGUUCUGUUUGAAGAAGAAAAACAAUGGGAUUGGGAUGCAAAACAAAUAUAAUCAGUACACUUAGAUUUAAGUGAUGGAGAUGGUGCUAAUGAAGAAGAAGAUAUAAUGCGAGUGCAAACGAGAUUGAUAACGAUGAAGAGAUAAGAGAUGAGGAAGUUACUGAAGGUCAUGGUUUUAGUGAAGGUGAACAAAGUGUUAGAGAUGUAAGACAAUCUCGUGAAAGCCAUCCUCCUACAUGGAUGGGUGAAUAUGUUAGUGGAGAAGGUUUAUGACAGGAUGAAGCUCUUAUGGUACUAGGGGUAUCAACUGAUCCAAUAUGUUUUGAGGAUGUUGUACAUAACGAAAGUUGGAGAUUGGCAAUGGAUAAUGAAAUUAAAUCCAUUGAGAGGAACAAAACAUGGACACUCAUUGAGCUACCAAGUGAAGCUAAAAGGAUUGGAGUAAAAUGGGUGUACAAAACCAAAUACAAUGAACAUGGAAAAGUUGAUAAGUACAGUAAGGAUGAUUGUUGCUCUUGCUGCACAAAAGGAUUGGAAGAUUUUUCAACUUGAUGUCAAGUCGGCUUUCCUUCAAGGUGAAUUGAAUGAAGAUGUCUACGUAGAGCAGCCAAAAGAGUAUCACAAUAAGGGAAAGGAGCACUUGGUUUACAAAUUACACAAAGCUUUAUAUGGAUGAAAACAAGCCCCACGAGCUUGGUUUAGUCGAAUUGAAGCACAUUUCCUUAAUGAAGGGUUUCAAAGGUGCAAUAGCGAACAAACAUUAUUCACCAAGGGAAGCAUGGAAGGAAAAAUAAUCAUUGUAACUGUCUAUGUUGAUGAUUUAACUUUUACUGAUGACGGUGAAGCUAUGUUGAUUGAAUUUAAAAAUUCCAUGAUACGAGAAUUUGAUAUGUCUUACUUGGGAAAAAUGAGAUUUUUUCUUGGUAUUGUGUUGUUGCAAAAGACUGAUGGUAUUUUUAUAUGUCAAAGAAAAUAUACAUUAGAAGUUUUAAAAAGGUUUGACAUGUUGGAAAGUAAUCCAGUGAAUAGUCCAAUGGUUCCUGGCUUCAAAUUGAAUAAGAAUGGAAAUGGGGUCACCGUUGAUGAUACACACCACAAGCAACUGGUAGGAAGUCUAAUGUAUCUUAUUGCCACUAGACCUGACAUGAUGUUUGCUACUUGUCUCAUAAGUAGAUACAUGGCGAAAGAGUUCUUCGAUACUUAAAAGAAAUUGUGAAUUAUGGAAUCCAUUACAGGAAAGGAGGAAAAGGUCAAUUGUUGGCAUAUACAGAUAGUGACUAUGCUGGAGAUAUGGAAGAUCGAAAAAGUACAUCAGGAUAUGUAUUCUUAAUGAGUUCAGGUGUUGUUUCGUGGUGUUCAAAAAAUCAGCCAAUUGUGACUUUAUCUACCACUGAAGCUGAAUUUGUAGCUGCUGCAGUUUGUGCCUGUCAAGGAGUUUGGAUGAAGAGAAUUUUGAAGGAGAUGGGUUUCUGUGAUGAAGGUUGUACAACUAUACUAUGUGACAAUAGUUCAACUAUCAAAUUGUCUAAAAAUCCCAUUAUGCAUGGACGAAGCAAGCAUAUUGAUGUGAGGUUUCAUUUUCUAAGAAAUCUUACUAAAGAUGGUGUAGUUGAAUUGAUUCAUUGUGGAAGCCAAGAACAAGUUGCAGACAUCAUGACAAAACCAUUAAAACUGGAAGUUUUUCAAAGGCCUCGAAGGUUGCUGGGAGUUCAUGAGAUUUUAGAUAAAAACUAAUUGCUUCAGAGCAUUUAGUUUAAGGGAGGGAAUGAAAUGUUUUUUCUUUGUUUAGUUAGAAUAAUUUCUAUUAUUUAGGGAUAUUGCAGUUUGAUUGUUAGAAAUUAAUAAGCUAGAUACAUUAUGGAUAACACAUUAAUAGAUACAUUUCUAGUUUCAAGAUACAUAUGCAUUUCUAGAUACAUGUAAUUAUUCAAGUACAUGAAUGGUAUGUAUUCAUGUACUUCAUUUAUUUUGUGUCUUUUAGGAAGUGUCUCUUGAAUACUAUAUAUAGAGAUCAUUUCCUUCAUUUGUAUACAAGAUAAAAGAAUCAAAUCAAUAGAAGCAAAUUGAGUCUUAGAAAGUAAGUGAGUUUCAAGAGAACAACAUUCUUCUCUUGUGUGUUAUUGAGUUUUCUAAGAGAACAAAUUUAUUCUCUUAAAAGUUUGUGAGAUUUAGAGUAAAUUUAGAGUGGGCUCGUCAACGCCUCCAACAAAUUGGUAUCAGAGCAAGGAUUGAAAGAUGUCAUCUAACAUGUUGCAGCCUCAACUUCCUUGUUUUGAGGGAAAAAACUAUAGGCGGUGGAGCCAUCAAAUGAAGGUUCUUUAUGGAUCUCAAGAUCUUUGGGAUAUUGUUGACAUCGGAUAUUCAGAGCCAGAAAGUAAGAAUGGUCUUUCAGCACAACAACUCAAUGAGUUGAGAGAUGCUAGAAAAAAGGAUAAGAAGGCAUUAUUUUUCAUCUACCAAGCUGUGGAUGAAAAUAUUUUUGAAAGAAUAUCAGGAGUCUCUACUGCUAAAGCAGCAUGGGAUGCAUUGCAAAAUUUGUAUGAAGGAGAAGAAAAGGUAAAAUUGGUCCGAUUACAAACACUUCGAGCUGAAUUUGAUACAAUUCGAAUGAAAGAUUCUGAAACUAUUGAAGAAUUUUUCAACCGUAUUCUCUUAAUUGUUAAUCAAUUGAGAUCAAAUGGAGAAACAAUUGAAGAUCAAAGGAUUGUUGAGAAGAUUCUUAGAAGAAUGAUUAGAAGAUAUAAGCAUAUUGUUGUAUCAAUUGAAGAAUCCAAAGAUUUGUCAACUCUCUCUAUAAAUAGCUUAAUGGGAUCUCUUCAAUCUCAUGAGCUCAGAUUGAAGAUGUUUGAUUGUACUCCUUCAGAAGAAGCUUUUCAUUUGCAGUCCUCCUAUAGAGGUCGAUCCAAUGGAAGAAGAGGUGGACGUGGUGGUAGAGGCAAUGGACGAUCCAACGUUGUAACAAAUACAGAGUCAGAAAGCAGAGACAAUCAAUUUUUUUCAAAUAGAGGACGGGGAAGAAGUUCAAAUAGAGGAAGAGGUAGAAGUGGUGGUCGUGGAGAUUUUUCUCACAUACAAUGUUUCAAUUGUAGACGUUAUGGACAUUUUCAAGCAGACUGUUGGUCUAAGAAGACUAAUUCUAAUCAAGCAGAAACCACGCUAAUGCAUGAGCAAUCAAAUAAUGAUCAAGGUCUUCUCUUCCUCACUCUCAAUGUUCAAGAAUCAAGCACUGAAGAAAUAUGGUAUCUUGAUAGUGGUUGUAGUAACCACAUGACAGGAAGAAAGGAUAUUUUUAUAUCUUUAGAUGAAUCUCAUCAAAAUGUAGUGAAGACUGGUGACAACAAGAUGCUUGAAGUCAAAGGAAAAGGAGAUAUUCUUGUCAAGACAAAAAUGGGAGCAAAAAAAAUUACUGAUGUGUAUUAUGUUUCAGGUCUCAAACACAAUCUUUUAAGUGUUGGACAACUUCUCCUAAGAGGACAUGAUGUUAUUUUUAAAGAUAACAUAUGUGAGAUUAGAACCAAGAAUGGAGAUCUCAUAACGAAGGUUCGUAUGACUCACAACAAAAUGUUUCCAAUUAAAAUAUGUUAUGAGAAGCUUGUUUGUUUUGAGACUUUAGUAAAUGACACCUCAUGGUUAUGGCAUUGUCGAUUUGGGCACCUAAGUUUUGACACUUUGUCUCACAUGUGUCAACAACAUAUGGUGAGAGGAAUGUCAAAUAUUAAAAAGGAAGAUCAACUCUGUGAAGCAUGUGUUUUCGGAAAGCAUCAUCGAAAUUCAUUUCCGACUGGAGGUUCUUGGAGAGCAUCAAAACCACUCGAGCUUGUUCAUACAGACUUAUGUGGACCUAUGAGAACUACUACACAUGGAGGUAACCGUUAUUUUCUCACAUUUAUUGAUGACUACAGUCGAAAAACAUGGAUUUAUCUACUAAAAGAAAAGAGUGCUACUUUCGAAUGUUUCAAGACAUUCAAAGCAAUGGUGGAAAAUGAAACUAACUUGAAAUUGAAAUCAUUGCGUUCGGAUCGUGGAGGAGAAUAUAUUGUUUUUGCAGAUUUCUUGAAGGAAAAUGGAAUCAAGCAUCAGAAGACUGUUCGAAGAACUCCUCAACAAACGGAGUUGCAGAGAGGAAAAAUAGAAUAAUAAUGGAACUUGCAAGAAGUAUGUUGAAGGCAAAGAAGCUUCCUGAUCAAUUUUGGGGAGACACAGUAACUUGUGUUGUUUAUCUCCUAAAUAGAGCUUCAACGAAAAGUGUGCAAGGUAUUACUCCUCGAGAAGCAUGGAGCGGAUUGAAACCAACUGUUAGUCACCUAAGAGUGUUUGGGUGCAUUGCUUACUCUCACAUUUCAGAUGAGAAAAGAGGUAAGCUAGAUGAUAAAUCAGAGAAAUGCAUUUUUGUUGGGUACAGUGAGAACUCUAAGGCCUACAGACUAUACAAUCCGAUAAGUAAGAAAGUUAUUAUUAGUCGAGAUGUCAAGUUCGAUGAAGCAAAAUUGUGGCAAUGGAAUGCACCAAAUGAAGACCAAAAUCCAUUACAUGUUGAUAUGGAUGGAAAAAAAGAUGCUCGAGACUUGGAGCUUGAAGUAACUCAACCACUGACUUCACCUUCUUCAUCACACUCCACAAGUAGUGAUGAAGAAACUACUCCAAGGAAGACCAGAAAUAUUCAAGAGAUCUAAAAUACUUCAAGAAGGAUACUAGAUGAAGAACAUGUUGAUUUUGCUUUAUUUGCAAAUGUUGAUCCUGUAUACUUUGAAGAAGCAAUUCAAGAUGAAAAUUGGAAAGAUGCAAUGAAUCAAGAGAUUGAUGCAAUAAGAAGAAACGAGACAUGGGAGUUAGUAAAAUUACCAGAAAAUAAAAAGGCUCUUGGAGUCAAAUGGAUCUAUAGAACAAAGCUAAAGCAAAACGGAGAAGUGCAAAAAUACAAAGCCAGACUCGUUGUAAAAGGUUACAAACAAAAGUUUGGUGUGGAUUAUGAAGAAGUUUUUGCACCGGUAACUCGCUUGGAGACUGUUCGUUUGUUGUUAGCCCUUGCAGCAAAAAAUAACUGGAAAGUUCAUCAAAUGGAUGUAAAGUCAGCAUUCCUAAAUGGGUAUUUAGAGGAUGAAAUAUAUGUUGAGCAACCCCCUGGUAAUGCAAAGAUUGGAGAAGAAAAUAAGGUGUGUCGAUUAAAGAAAGCCUUGUACGGGCUAAAGCAAGCACCAAGGGCUUGGUAUAGUCGCAUCGACAAUUUUUUCUUAAAGGAUGGUUUCAGAAGAUGUCCAUAUGAACAUGCUCUCCACACCAAAGAAGAUGAAAAUGGUAAUUUCUUGAUAAUUUGUUUAUAUGUUGAUGAUUUAAUAUUUACGGGCAACUAAAAUAUGAUGAUUGAAGAAUUCAAAGAGAGCAUGAAAAAGGAAUUUGAGAUGACUGAUAUGGGUUUACUUCAUUAUUUUCUUGGUAUUGAAGUUAAACAAGAUGAUAAUGAGAUUGCAAUUUUCCAAAAAAAGUAUGCAAAAGAUUUGUUGAAAAAGUUCAAAAUGGAGAAUGCUUAUCCUGCCAGUACUCCUAUGGAAUUGGGUUUAAAGUUAAGUAAGCAUGAUGUUAGUGAAGCUUUUGAUGCCACCAUUUAUAGAAGUUUGGUUGGAAGUUUAAUGUAUUUAACUACAACUAGACCUGAUAUUAUGUUCUCGGUCAGUUUAUUGAGUAGAUUUAUGACAUCACCAAAGAGAAGUCAUUGGGAAGCUGGAAAGAGAGUUCUUAGAUACAUUCUUGGAACUGUUGAUAAUGGAAUCCACUAUAAAAGGAAUGUGGAUAAUGUUCUUGUUGGCUACAGUGAUAGUGAUUGGGGAGGAAAUAAUGAUGAUUUCAAAAGUACUUCUGGGUAUGUAUUUAAUAUUGGUUCUGGAGCAGUUUCAUGGGCAUCAAAGAAGCAAGAUGUUGUAGCAUUGUCCACAAUAUAAGCUGAAUACAUUUCUUUGUUUGUUGCUAGUUGUCAAGCACUUUGGCUAAGAAAUGUACUACAUGAAUUGAAGUGUCCUCAAGAGAAAGGGACCAUCAUGUUCUGUGACAAUCAAUCAUCUAUUUCACUUUCGAAGAAUCCCGUUUUUCAUGGAAGAAGCAAACACAUAAACAUCAAAUAUCAUUUCAUCAGAGAAUUGAUCAAAGAUGGAGAAGUAUAUAUCAGGUAUUGCAAGACUCAAGAUCAAGUUGCAGACGUAUUCACAAAAGCAUUAAAGACAGAUUCAUUCUUGAAAAUGAAAGAGAAGUUCGGAGUUUGGGAAGUCUAGCUUAAGGGGGCAUGUUAGAAAUUAAUAAGUUAGAUACAUUAUGGAUAACACAUUAAUAGAUACAUUUCUAGUUUCAAGAUACAUAUGCAUUUCUAGAUACAUGUAAUUAUUCAAGUACAUGAAUGGUAUGUAUUCAUGUACUUCCUUUAUUUUGUGUCUUUUAGGAAGUGUCUCUUGAAUACUAUAUAUAGAGAUCAUUUCCUUCAUUUGUAUACAAGAUAAAAGAAUCAAAUCAAUAGAAGCAAAUUGAGUUUUAGAAAGUAAGUGAGUUUCAAGAGGACAACAUUCUUCUCUUGUGUGUUAUUGAGUUUUCUAAGAGAACAAAUUUCUUCUCUUAAAAGUUUGUAAGAUUUAGAGUAAUUUUAGAGUGGGCUCGUCAACGCCUCCAACAUUGAUUUCAUUUUUCCAUUUCCACUUGCUGGUUUGUAGCUAAAGAGGGUUUCUAUUUUUAGAUUAUUUUUGUUCGCUUAUUUACCUGUUUUGAUGAGUAAUAUGAAGUGAAAUGUGCAAAUCGUUUUAAUGUGCUUUCAAUCUCAACAGAUAAUGAUUCAAUUAUAAGAAUUAGCUACAUCAUUUAAAAGUAAAUUCAAUUAUGAGAAUUAGCUACAUCAAUUAAGUGAUAUCGAUUUCAUUACUUCUUUUGAUACAAGCUAAAUGGUUGUCAAUUUUAUUUUAUUUUUUUGCUCAUCAUUUAAAAGCAAAUGUUCAAGUAAAGAUUGAGAUGUUUUUGGCUAAUUGCUUCUGUAUAAUCUGAGCAAUGAAUUGUAGAAAAAGGAUAGAUAAAGAUACAUAUGUCUAUCUUUGUCUCGUCUCUUCGUUUUGUGGUAGAGAUAGAUGUCCAUCUCUGUCAAUAUAUAAUAAAUUGCAACAUUUUAUAACUUUCCAACUGGGAGGCCUCCUUCUCUAAUUUGCUCUGCUUCAUAUUUCACAAUCUUCUUCAAAACUUCUUCAACAAGUCCCUAGAAAUUCAGCCAUAAUGCACUCUCUAUUUUUCAGCUCUCAAAUUCUCUAACCCUCAAUUGAAGAAGAGAAAAUUGGAAAGUAUAAGAAGAAUUUGUAUCUUUACAGUUUGGUGUAAUCUUCUUGAUAUUUCUGGAUGCAAUUAAUUCUCAUAUUUUGAACAACAAUUAUUAUUAUUAUUACUUAGGAAACUGAGAGGUCCUAAAGCAACAACUUGAAAGCUAAGAUGAUGUGGAUAUUAUUGGAACUACAAGUUUAGAAACAUCCCAAACACUACUUUUGCGUGAGGUUGAUUCUUUUCCAAACUAUAGAUUUAUUUCUGUCUAUCUUACAUUUAGAUAACUAUUAUAGUUUAUUGUUGUCUAUCCCUUUUUAUUAACUCUUAUACUUUCUUGAAAUAAAUUAAUGAAGAAAAUCAAAUAGAAAAACAGAAAGAAGAUGGACAAAUAGAAGAAAAAGAAGAUAACUAUCAUACUCUAUCGUAGCGUAUGAAAAUGAUGCAUGAAACUACUCUAAGCUUCAACUUGAACAUUUCUCAAACUCAAUCUCAACCUAAGUCUCAAUAUAGAAUUACUUUAUACAUUUUGUAAAGCUUCAAGUUUGUAAAUUUCAAAUUGAACAUUUAGUUAUUUUCUACUUUGUAUAGUUUGUAAGUUUUUUUCUACUGGUUCAAUCAACUUGUUUUAAAAUUUAUAAAAUUAACAGUUUUGCAUUGCUUAAGACGUUGUUUGGUUAUUUGGUUAUGUGUGGUUUAACUUUAGUUCUUGUUAUUAUUUUUUAUCUCAUAUAGAUAGAGAUAGACCUCUUAUCAUUGUCCAUCUAAUAUAGACUUCAAUAAAUGUGUCUUAUAGAUAGACAUAGAGCUAUAUCAUUGUCUAUCUAGGAUAGACAUUGAUACUACUCUAUCGUUGUUUGUCUGAGAUAGACAAAGAUAUAGCACUAUUCAGUAUCUAUCUAUGAUUAGACUAUGAUAAUUCUCUAUCAUUUUAUAUCUGAAAUAGAUAGAAAUAGAAUACCUAGUCUUGCUUGUCUGAGAUGCUUAAUAAUAAUGAUAUAUCAGUGUUAUCUGAGAUAGAUAGAGAUAAAAUACUAUGAUUGUCUAUCUCGGAAAGACAGAGAUAGAUACAUCAAAACCAAGUUGAUUACCUCUAUCAUUGCCAACUAGAAAAUUUUUAAUUUUGUUGAGUUUGAUGUUUUUGUUUAAUUCUUUUGAGUUUAUGUGAGAUAGAGUUCUUAUUAAGAAACAACUUUGUCAAACAAAAAAUAUUUACAUUUCAAGAACAUAAUAAGUCAGAAAAUAUCAUUCAUCAACUGAAAUGCUAAUCCAUCUAUCUAUGUAUUACAAUGCAAAAAAUAUUUAUUACAUCGUUUAAUUAAUUGGGUCAAGUUUGUAAGGUCUACCAUUGUGACCUUUAUGAUUACAAUGAGUAUGGUUUGAUGAAGUUUUAACUUCACUUAGAGAUGGAGUUCUUUGUUUUCUAGGUCUUCCAACUUUACAUUUAACAAUGGGAGGUAAUGUUUUCAUGACAUCAUCUUCCGCUCUCUGAUCCAAAUGAACUUCAAUAGGUCGAACACAAUUGCAUGCUCCUGACAAUAUUAUUCUAUAAUAAAACUCAAAAUAGACGCAAUAUUCAUUCAACAACCUACAUUUAAAAAAAACUAUAAGAAUAGACAUGGUGUUCUACAAAAUGAAAGAAAAAAUAAUACAAGAAACUUGUAAUGAAAAUACAUCACCAAAAUUAUCUAAUUAGAAACUCAUAAGAAAUUAACUAUACAGUGAAAUAUAAAAAUAUACUUCUAUCUUUGUCUAUCUCAAAGACACAUUAAUUCUAUCUCUGUCUAUCACAAAACACAGAGAUAGUUAAAAAUAGGGUCAAGUUUGAUAGGGAGAGAUAUAUCUCUUUGUUUUUUUGAUAGACUUCCUCUUCCCUAAGCAUACUGGAUAAUUCCUUCAAGAGUUAUUCAAGAUUUUAGGAAGAUGACUUUGUGAUAGAUAGAGAUAGAAGUCUAUCUUUGUCUAUUAGAUAGAAAUCUAUCUCUAUAUAUCAGAUAGAUAGAUAGAUUUAUAUCUUUGUCUAUCUGAAUUUUUUCUCUACUAAGAAAAGAAGAAAACACCGUUGUUGGAAAAUCGCAUGUACUUUCAGACGCCCAUUGUCGAGAAAUCAUGUAAAGAAGAAAAAGAAGAAUGUACCGUUUAUCGAAAAUCAAGUGAAUUGUCGAACGCCUUUAAUAAAAAAAAAUCACAAAACAACCGACUCUAUCGAAGAUGAAGAAAAAGCAGCGUGAUGGUAAGAUAGAUCAUUCUCAUUCGGCUGGCUUUUAAGAAUCACUCUCCAACUCGGAUUAGCAAUGCUAGAAUGACUCUUCCUCUUAUCCAAUGGCUCGUCCAGGGUUUAGUCUUCCAAUUGAAGUUAUGCAAUUCCAGUACUAAGAGAAAAAGGCAGCAAUCUCAAUCCCCAUACAUCCUAACAGAGACAGAUUCCCUUGUUGAAUGAGACAGGAUCGGGAGCUUUCAAUGAUGGAGAUUGAGUUUUGAUUGAUGAAGACGAAGAAGGUCGGACGAAAUGUUUUUUGUUGUUGAAAGUUUCCGCUUUACUUUUGUGGGUUUGGCCGAUUAAUCGUGAGGUGAAUAAAGAAUGUGACAAAAAAACGUGUGAGAUAGAGAUAUUUUUUGUAUUUCACAUUGUGGAUGAAAUGUUUGGGUGGAUUUUCCUCCUACAAAAUUUUAAUGGACUAUAAGUAGUUUAUUUUAUUUUCAUAUAUUUAGAAAGAAUCCAAAAGAACUCGUGGCAAGGGAAAAAUAUGACUUUUUUCAAAUAUAGCCAACAUUCAAUCAAAAUUUUGUAUUAAAAACUUCAACAUAAACAUUGAUAAAACUCAUAAAAUAUAGAUGGAAAUUUUGAACUUAAAUGCGACGUAAAGCACCUUAAAUUCCUAAGAUUGUAAAAAUAUCAAUAAAAUAAAUGUGUAUCGAUAAAUAUUUAUGAAAUAAUUAUUAAAAAUAGAAUUUUCAAAUAGUUAAUAUAAAUUAGUUAGUAAAUAUUUUAUGAAUUUUAAAUAGGUUAUCAUGCCUAUUAUUUAUACUGUAGUUACACUACCCAUAUAUUGUUGUAUAUUUUUAAUGUUUAGUAGAUUUUUCUACAACAUAAUAAUUAAAAUAUCAAUGCAACUCUAUUAUCGAUAUCGAACUCAUAAUGGUGUGGAAAUACUAACAUAUCGAAAAAGAUUUAAUACUAUGAUCUAAACAUAAGCCUAACUAAUAUCGGUGCAUUUUCAAAUAUUGCAAAAUGAAUACAAAUAUUUAUAAAAUAUAACAAAUUUUUAGAUACUAUCAAUCACACUUGUCUAUCAUUUAAAUAUUUUGAAUGGUUUUGCUAUUUAUAAGUGGUAAUAAGUAAAUUAAUUUCAGUAAAAAGAAAUAAGAAAUUUGAAAAAAAAGUGAAAUCCUUUCAAGUGCAUUUUGGAAAUAUAGCUUCAACUAAAAGUAGGUUAGAGUGGCUUUUCACAAUAAAUCUGAAAAUGGUCUGUCUUGGCGGUUAAUCAAAUCAAAAUAAAAAAAAAAUCUAUUUGGUAGCAUGACAUCAAUUUUCCAUUUAAAAGAUCAUUCAAAUUAUUCAAAUUUAAGGGGUUGGUUCGAUAACUCUCUAGUUCUUGUUUCUGUUUUUUUUAAAAAAAAACAAAUAUAUUUGAUAACCGUUUCCAUUUCUCAUUUUCAAAUUUUAAAAAACGUUUCUUAAAAUUGGAAAAAUAUUGAAAAACUAUAGAAAGUAGUUUCUUCUAUUUCUGUUCCAACUUUAUUUGAAUCAAUUCUAUACAUUUUUAAUGGUUAGUUGGCUCAUUGCUUUCGAGGUAUGCUUGUAAACUAUUUUUGUCCUCUAAGUCUUGAGUUGAACUCUCAACAUGGAUGAAUUUGUAUUCUUUUUUUUUCAUCUUUUAUUAAUUUUUGGUUAAUUUUCAUAAAUAUAACAAACAACCAAAAUAUUUAUGGCUCGUGUAACAAAAUGAAAAAAGUCAAAAGUCCAUUAAACUAGCCACUUUUUAAAAAAUGUUUCAGAUUUGUCCUCUUCCUUCUUCUUCUUCUCCUUCCUCUUGUCCUUCUUCUUCUUCUUUUCUUUUUCUCUUUCUCCUUCUCCUCCUCCUCCUUCUUCAGCCUAAGUGAUUAAUUGUUUGAUGUUGGUUGUCAAAUCAUUAAUUCAGUUAUGUUUAUGUUUAGGGUUGGUUUAUUUCAAUUUUGACAAAUACUGUUUUAGCUGUUUUAGCUAAUCUCCUGGUAUGAGACUCCACUAUUAGACCCUUGACAUUAUGUUUUUCUUAUUAUGCAUUAACGUAGUUAUGAUGCAUGAUGUGACUGUUAGGAUGGUUAAUAUUAAUAGCUACAUAGACAACAGUUAUGUAUUACUGAGAUAUGUGAUGAUCAUGAUAUGUGCAUCAUGAUUCAUAUAUGAUAUUUAUGUUAUGCUAUAUCAUAUCGUAUAGACUAUGGUGUUCUAUUAGCUUUAUCUGUUAGGUCGUACCAUAUAGGGUCCCUCGGGAUCACCACCUAUUUAUGCCUUUGUGUCAAGCUUUUAUGUGCGAUUCGACGAGAUCACUUACAACCCGACUCCCUUUUAGGCUGUUUCCAUUGAGUUCACUGAUAGUCCAAGUGUGUCCCUACGAGAUCACUAGAUAGCGUGUAUUCGGGAGCACAAUAGUUAUGUGGUACUUUCUUACAUAACUCUAAGACACAUAGCGGGACUAGUAAUGGGCCCCUUAUUGAAUAUAUGUUUAUACUCACUCUUUUCUAUAUGUUUAAUUUUUCAGACAGAGGUAGAGGUAGAGCUGAGUAGAGGUAGAGACAAGCUAGUGAAUGACAAGAAAUGAUCGUAGUUCGCCAUAGGGAACAAUUUACAUUUUCUUUGGCAUUUAUGUUUUCAAUAUUUGAUUUACAUAAAUUUAUUUCAGAACUCAUAAGUACUUAUAAAUAUUUUCUAUCUAUUUCAAAUAGGACCUAAACUGGUAUUUUAUUUAUUAUUACAUUUUUUCACCUACUUUAUUUAUAUUUAUAAAUGCAUAUUUGAAGUGUUUCUUUAAAAAAAAUUGACAUUUUCUUUUAUUUUAAAUAAAAAUUCUUUAUUUGUUUUAGUAGUAAUGACUUCAGCUUAGUAUAAAAAGUUGAGUUGUUACACGAUCCUUACCAAAUCUAAACGAUCAUGUACUAAAAAAUCUUCCAAAAAAUCGUUGAGAUUCAGUUAUCCAAAUUUAAACGAUCAAAUCUAAAUGAAUAUGUACCAAAUAUAAAUAAUUUUAUACCAAAUAAAAACGAUCGUGUACAAAAAAAAAUACUGAAAAAUAUCAUUUAUAUUUCGCUACCCAAAUUUAAACAAUUUAAUUUAAGCGAAUGUGUACCAAAGAAUAGUCAAAUCUAAACGAUCAUAUAAGAAAUAAUAGUCAAAUUUAAAUGAUGUGGGACUACAUUUAUUACGUGUGUUGGAUGUCAAUUAAUCAUGGAACAUUUUUUGUAUUUUCUAUUGUGAGUUUGUGGGUUUUUUUCAUUUUUGAAAUUGUUCUAUAAAGUAUAAAUAUUUUAGCGGUUUGGUGUAUUUUUUAAAAGACCCCUUAAUGUUUCAUUACUAUCUUUUAUAUUUAUAUGUUGUAUUUCUUAAUUUAUUUUAUUUUUUUCUUUCUAUUAUUAAUUUUUCAUAUAUGUUUAAUUUUAGUUUGAAUUUUGAUUUUUUUAAUAUUUAGAUUUAUGUAUUAUGUGCUUUUCUAAUUUCUAAUCUUAUAUUUUAUUUUAUUUUCUAUUCAGCUACAUUUAUGUUUUUAUUUACAUCUUUGAUUUAAUUUUGAAUUUUAAAUUAUUCAAUAUUUUAAUUUAUAUAUAUAUAUUUUUAAAAAAUAUAACAAUCUGAAAAAAUAUUUACAUUGUAUAAAACAACUUUGAAAACGAAAAACGCUCACAAUCCCACGAUGAAAAUACCAAAAAUGCUCUAGUCAACACGCGAUUAACCAGCCACACUCUCGUGUGUAAUUCUUCUUCUAAAUGAUCAUGCAUGAUACGAUACAAUCGUGUAGGUAGUAUCAACAGGAUCGUGUAGUUUUUCUUAAUGAUGGAAAAAAAUACUUCAAAUCUAAACAAUCAUGUUGAUCACGAUAAACGAGCGUGUUGACUAGGUAAGCGAUCAUUUAGAUCAUAUCCACGUGAUCAUAUGCUUCUUUUUAAACAAUGAAAAAAGAGUUUCAAAUCUAAAUUACAAUCGUGUUGACCAUGCUAAACGAUCGUGUUGACUAAGUCGAUAAGCGAUUGUUUAGAUUAUAUCCACACGAUCAUAUAGUUCUUUUUAAACAUGGGAAAAGAGCUUCAAAUCUAAAGGGUCGUGUUGACCAUACUAAACAAUCACGUUGCUUUAAAGCAUAUCAAAGUGAUAUUUAAACGACCAUAAUAUUCUGGAAGAGGAGUUGAAAGAAAGAAAGAGAAGAUGAAGAAAAAAACUAGAAGAUGAAUCAAAAUAGAAAAAGAAAAUCUAGAAGAAAAGCGGAAGAAAUCUGGAAGAGAAGAUAAAUAAAUCGCAAAGAAGAAGAAAAAGAUGUGACAAAUCGUCUACAAUAUCAAGGGCAAAUAUGAAAUUUAUGAAAAAAAAUUACCUACUUCAUGGGUAUCUUGUUUUUGUUACAAAGGUUGUAAAUAUUUUGGUGUUUUGUUACAUUUAUGAAAAAUUAACCCUAUAUAGUAUUUGAUCUUUCAAAUUUAAAUAUUUAAUAUGUUUAUUUAAAUUGUUCUGAAUUAAAAUUUUUAAAUUUUGCAAUAGGCAUGUCCAUAUGUUCAUAUCCACAAUAGAAGUAUAGGCAUAAAAAUAUCUUACUAUUAUUCAUCAAUUUUAUUUAGUUCCAACUAUAGAAAGAAAUUAAUAACCGAUGCUUCUAUCGUUGAUAUAAAUCUAUAGUGAUAAUGAUAGACCGAAAAUGUGUUAUCUUUCUCCACAAUUAAUUCAAGAUUAUUGUUUCUUAGUUUUAUAUGUUUAUUUGUCUAUUUUGUACAUUUGAAGCACCUAAGAGGUAGAAUCUAGGUCAUGGACAAAAUGGACCUAAAAUGGGCUAAAACAAAACUUAAUUGCAACAUCCGAGAAAGAGAACACCGAAAUUACAAAAUUGCCCCUGGUGAAGAAUUUAGUAUGAUAAAGUUUUGUAAUCUUUUUUUUCCAAUAAAAGGUAAAUAGUUUGAUUUUUAUUAUCAAAAAACCCACACAAAACAAAAUUCAUUUUUCUUGAGAAAAAGAAAAAUCCCAUUUGAUUCAAUUUUAUGGACCUACUGCCAACCUGUGUUUUUCUCUUAAUAAAUAGCCGCUCAUGGUAGGUUGAACCAACAAUCAUUAUUUCCUUUACUCCAAUUGCACCCUUAACCCAUAUCUUACCAUUUUUUUUACCACGAUAAUUGAGGGUCGAAGAACUUCAAUUUUGGAUCACAUCUCCUGACUACUUAUGGACACUAACAAUAUUUAUAAAAUAUAGGGAAUUUUAUUUUUCAUUUAUGAUAUACAUCAAGACACAAUUGGUAGAUUUUUAUAUUAGUUUUUAACGUCGGAAUUUACAUUUUUUUAAAAUAUGAUUUGGGUAUCAUAUUUUGGUUUAAUAUUCUUAAAUUGUUAUAAAUUCAUUCAGUAUUUUCAUUUUUAUUGAAUUGCACAAUACUUUUCAUGAGUCUAAGAAAUGUUUUCUAAAGUAUAAAUUUUUAGGAUUGUGCAUAAGAAAGUGGUGGUGAUAAUUAGAAUAUUAGAAUUCUUUGUAUGCAAAUACAAGAUGAUUAAUAUUUAUGGAUAAAGUUAGUGUUAUUGUCUUCAAAUAAAAUUAUAACCAUCAACUAAGAGUAGAAAUUGAAAAAAAAAAAAUAGAGAAGUAUUAGAUAACUCACAUUAAUUAAAGUUUUAAAGUGGAAGGAGGAUUUGAACAUUGAUAAAAUAAAUGAGAAUACAUGGUCUCUUGAAAAUAAAGAUUUUGUACUGUAAAAGAGAAAAAACAUCGAUUACACUUCAUAUCUAUCUACCAUGGCUAAUUUCUAAAGAAAAAACUUCGAAAAUUUGAAAAUUUAAUGCAAAUAUGUAAAUAGAUAUUGAUAUAAAUUUCAAAAUUUGUAGAAACUUGAACAAAAUUUAGGGGAAAUUGAAAUUCUACCCCACUAAAAUUUCAAGAUUUUGACCAAAAUUUUGAACAAUGAGUAACAUCCACCAAAUAGCAUAUUCAAAUAGCUGCAUGCCCAUUUCAAUUUCUUUAUAAUUAUUAUUUUUCUGUAAGCAACAGUUUUAAGAAAAUCAGAUUUUUUUUCUUUUCUGAGUGGUUUGUUUAUUUGAUGAAUGUGUUUUAAAAUAUAUUCUCAAUUACAUGAUUUGAUUCUCUCUUAGGGCGUUUUGGUCUAUUACGGAAUUUAGAAAAACAUCAGUUGGUUUGAUCUUUUUGUUGGCUUUUUUGUAAACGAAAAAACAUUUCUCUAUUUUUCAAAAUCUACUUCUAAUCUUAGCUAUAUGUAUAUAGUCAUGUUUUUUAUAAUAUAAAGUGCAAAAUAAAUUUCUAAAUAAAUUAUUGUUUGUUUUUGUUGGAAAAAGAAUUAACAAAACAAGAAGUCAGCAUAAAUUUACCUUCAUUUUCUUUGAGAUAGCUUUUUCAAAAGUGAAAAUUCCUUGCCAAAAAGAAAAAAAUUGAUUAUUAAAGAUUUAUUUGGUAAGUAUUUGGUGUUUUGACUUUUAAUUUUUUAAAAUCAAACCAAUAAACACUUAUUCCACUUCUAAAUUUUCUCCCCUUUUGAUCUAUUUCCAAUGAAUAUUUUGAAAAUCCAAACUAAAAUCAAUAAAAGAAAAACAUACAUAAAACCACAAAAGACAUUGUUAUUUUUCAAAUUAAUUGAUUCACAAACAUCUACACCAAAACUAAAUCCACCUUCCAACAAACGAACCAAAUUAAUUUAACUUAGACAUCCACUUAACAACACAUCCCACAAAUGUUAACCACAAAUCCAUCUUCCUUUUAUUCUACUCUUUUCCAUUUCAUUAACAGCCUCGUUUGUAGACAGCACAUUUUUCCUGUAUCAGCGUGUCCCUUUUCCUGCCAAGACAACUUUCGUACCGCGGUGGUCGGCCACAGUCGUCUUUCACUACCUGCUUGUUGGCUAUUCUGGUUGGUGGUGAUUUGUAUUUAUCGUAGUUAAUUGACAGCAUCCAUCCCAUCUCCGAUUCCAUCAUGAAUUCGUAAUCUCCGACAUCGUCUCUCACAAGGUGGCAUUUCUUUGAGUGGCUGCUGUUGCAAGAGGCGGAGGCAGCAGUGUCAUUAACGGUGAAGCCGGAAGGAAUGAGGAGGAGAAGGAGAAUGAUGGUCCCGAUGGAUGGUGUGGACAGUGCAGCCAUGGUGUUUGAAGAAGAAAGUCCAAUGGAGAGGUGAACGAGUGAUGAAAUGGUGAAGAGAUAACAAUGAAGAUUAAUGAAACUAUGGAAGAUAUUGAAUUUUGGGGGGCCGUUGGUAGUUGGGGGACUUUGAUGCUUGGAUCCAAUUUUAUUUAUUGAUUCUGGAAUAUUAGAUUGAAUAGGAGGUGAUUUUUAUUUCUCAUUUUCCUUUUCAAGUUAAAAGGAAAAAGAGUCACGUGAUGAUGAUAAUUCAAUAUUCAAGAGUUUAUGUUGUGUGCCUUAUUUAUGUUAUAAAUGUUAGAAUAAGUAAUUAUACGUCUAUUGAAAUAAGAAAUUUUAAGAUCAAUCAUAAACUUUCACGUCAUUUACUAAAUUAUUGAUGAAAAAUACAAAUAAUUGAAUAUGAAAUUAAUUAAAAAAUUAGCAUGUGUUCCAAAUUAAAAUUAGAGACAUAAAUUGGUCAUUUUUGUUGAUGUCACGUAUUGUCAUUAUCACCGCUGGAUCAAUUUAAAUAUUUUAGUUAAAUUAAAUAUUAUUUACUUGGACUAAAGUUCAAUUGAGCCAAAAGAAAAAUAAGUCUAAUUGAGUCUAAAGACUAAAUAUGACUCAAAUCCAUGUAGUUGAGCUCAUGGUUUGCUCCAUGGACUAACAAGACUCAAGCCCAAAAAGCCAAGCAUAGAACUCUAUAAAUAAAAGAGUUCUUAUUUGUAAGGGUUAAUUUUUUUUUACUCUGGAAGGUCUAGAGAGUUAUCCCAAGAAUUAGAAGACUCCCUAACUCCUGAACUUAACCACCCUCGAAAAUUGAAGUUCCUUUGAAGAUGCAAGCUUUCUUCCAAUACUUCAACUUCAAGAACAUCACAUUUUUCGCUUCCUCAAAUCAAGCGUAGGCGUUCAACCAACUUCAAGAAUAUAACGUGUUUCGCUUCCUCAAAUCAAAUGUAGGUGUUCAACCGAGAAUCAGAGGAUCAAAUAUUAGAGAUCCAAGCACAUCGCAUCAAACAACAUAAAUACAACAUCAACACAAACUCAACUCUACAAAUCAAAUUUCUCAAAAAAUCUUGUGCACAUAAAUUGGCACGUCUGGUAAGACAUCUCUACCACUCAUCUCUCUCUCUAAACUCAAAUCAACAAAGCAACUAAUGGCACUAAGGAAAGUUUCAUCCAAAGUAACUUUCGCAAACAACACUUACACUAGACUUGUGACCUAGAGUCACUCAAAGAGGAGCAUGCAAGAACAAGAACAAAGUUUUUUCCUCACAAAGAAAAGUUGGGAAGAACUUAUGGAAUUUUCUAAAGAUGGGAUCAUCAUCAGAGAGAAUACUUUGUUUGUUGACUCUACUCCUGCUUCUGAUCUAUUAGAGAAAGAAUCACACCUUGAAGUAGUGUUUGUUAUGAUGACUAAUAUAACAGUUGAAGCUGCCAUGGCGGAGAUCGAGAGGAAAGUAAACUUCAUGAAAGUUGUGGAGGAGCGAGAUAAAAAAAUUGAUGCCUUGAAAGAUCAAAUUCAAACUUGUGAAACUGCAGUCAAGUCAAACUCCCGUUGUCAAAGUUGGUGAAAAAGGAAAAAAUUGUGGUGCAAGAAGAUCAACCACAACAACAAUUAGCUUAUGUGGCUUCCCUCUUAGUCCAACAACUGCAAGAUAUCAUAAGCUCUACAAGUGCUCAGUAUGGGGGACCACCACAAACUUCUUUUAUGUAAUCCAAGUCAUAUACCAAGAGAAUCAAUGACCUGCGAAUGCCUGAUGGAUACCAACCUCCACAGUUCCAACAAUUUGAUGGAAGGGCAGUCCAAAGCAACACAUUGCUCAAUUUGUUGAAACAUGCGAGAACAUAGGAUCUAGGGGAGACUAACUAAUCAAGCAUUUCGUUCAUAGCUGGAAAGGAAAUGCUUUCAAGUGAUAUACUGAUAUGGAGUUAGAAGUCAUUGACAGCCGAAAACAAUUAGAAAAGAAGUUUCUCAACUGCUUUUAUAGCACUAGACGUGUUGUCGACAUGAUAAAGUUGACAAACACCAGACAAAGAAAGGAAGAGUCAGUCAUUGACUACAUAAACCGAUGGAGAGCUAUGAGCCUGGAUUGUAAAGACAAGCUCAUAGAACUGUCUGCAAUAGAGAUGUGCACCUAAGACAUGCAUUAGAAACUUCUCUAUAUUUUGCAGGGCAUAAAACUCCAUAAAUUUGAAGAAUUAGUUACUCGAGCUCAUGACAUGGAGUUGAGCGUCACUAAUAGGGAAACUAAAGAUUUAUUAAUCUCUGAACUAAAAAAGGGAAAGAAUGAAAUCAGCAACACUAAAAAGAUCACUAAUAGUGUUAGGAAUGAGUCUAUGGUUAUUCCUAAGACUCCAUCGAAAUCUCUCUCCAAAAGAAAAGAAACAAAAAUAGAAAGAAAGCAUGAUGGCAUAGAGAAGCAUCGUCAAUCUCUUAAAGAAAGGCAGAAAAAAGUUCAUCAAUUUCUUGACUCUGAUGUUGCAAACAUGUUAGAGCAAUUGCUAGAAAAACAACUUAUUCAACUGACAGAAUGCAAACGACUAAAACAAGCAAGAAAAGUAAAUGAUCAUAAUUACUGAAAAUACCAUUGGGUCAUUAGUUACCAUGUUGAAAAAAAAUUUGUGUUGAAGGAGCUGAUUUUAAAGUUAGCUCGUGAAAAGAAGAUCGAGCUGAGUAUUGAUGAAAUAGUUAAGACGAAUCAUGUUAAAGUCGAUAUGUCUUUAAGUGUUCCACCAUCAAUGCUACUUUAUGAUUAAAGUGAAAGUUUGAUUCAAUUUGGGACUUUUGAACUUAUAGUUGUUCGAAUCCAACGAAGGAUCAUGACGACAAACCCCCAAAACUAAGAAGAGCCUAUUAAGUAUCAAGUAAAGUGAAAAACGUCAAAAAUAAUGAAAAACCUCAUAAAUGCAUAAUUUUUUCAAUUUUUUCUUAAUACUUGACAGGUUAAAAGGGCAAGUAUAAUUUUACAAGCUUGACAUUUUUUAAAUGUCAUCAAUGACCUAUUUGAAAAACUGAUUAAUUAAAAAGUUAAAGAAAAAGAAAACCUAAAUCCCCCCUCCUCUCCUUCUCCACGAUACUACCUCAUUUUCAAUCUCUACCAAAAACUAACCUAAAACCACGGCAGCCAUGGCCACGACAAAUGACGACGACAUCGACGAACGACGAUGGCAGCGAUAACGACAACGGCUGGUGGUGACCUUCAAUAGUGACCGACGUCUGACGAUGACCCAUGAAGCGAACAUAUCUGCUACACUCGAACGGCUACGGACGAAUGACUCCACGCAAAUGUCAGGAUAUGGGUAUAGAACCUACAAUACUCAUCAGCACGAAAUUGGGUGAUUUUAAUAACGUAUGUCGAAGAAUCACAUCAGCUAUAGAGCAUCCUCAUUUAAGCAUCCCUGAAAAUGAGGCAGGCAGAAGCCGCAAGCAUUAUCACAAGCUCAAAAACCACUCUCUUAUGUUUGUUUCAGGUAUGUUGAUUUAUAUAGUUUUCCCCUCAUUCAUAUCAACAUGAAAAACCUACUUGGUAAUAAACAUUAACAUGUACUGCUAUGUAUGACAGUUUUUGCUUCAUUGGAUGGUUGCAUAAAUGAGUCUGUCAUCCCACCGAUUACUUGUUUUUCAGAAAGGAUGUUUUUAAGUAUAAAGAGGUAGAAGGAUAGAUGGUUUUAAAGUUUAUUCAACUAAUUAGAUUAGAAAAUCAGGUAAUUUAGUUUUCUUAUAAACAACUAUAUAUAUAAAAAUAAUACCAUCUCAUUACGCCAACUAUAAGGCCUUAGCUUGGUCAAAUCAUUAAUUUUACUAUCAUUCAUAUUAUAAAAAUUGUGGUUUGAUUACUCAACACAUGUAGUUUUAAAUUCCAACCUUUGUUACAAAAAUUGUAAUUAAUUUCUUGUUUAGAAUUUAUAUUAUGGAAUAUUAAGAUUUUGUAGUUAUUGCUUAUUCUAAAUUACAACCAACCUUUUCUUUUUUGAGGUCAAACGUACACUUUAAUUAACAUUUGAAAAUUUGAAAUUAUGUUCAAUUGUAAUUUAUAAGUCUUUUAACGUUAAAAGCUAUCAAAUUGUAAUAACUUUUUUGACUAAAAACAAUAGUUUAUGUCUUACUGGAUGAGGAGAAAAUUAAUUUGUAGCACUAAGGUAGUAUGAAAGUAUAUAUGUGCUAGUGUAGUAUUAGAAGUACUUUUUUGGAGGGAGUAAUUAUUGAAAUUUAUGUGGGUACACAUGCUAGCAUACAUGUGUUCAAAAGAAAAAAAAAAAUGAUCGUCAAUUAUUGGGCAUUGUUGAUACUCCACCAUAAAUAUUCAACCCAACAAAUAUUUACCAAGAAUUUGAGAUCAGUAACGAUAAUUACUAUAUAUUGAUUGGAAUUUGAAUUGUUAAGUUUACUUUGGAAAUUAAUAUAACCUAGGGUAAUUUGAAUAAUGUUAAAUUUUAAUUAAUUUAUAUAAACUAAUUAAACUUUAUAAUAUAAAUUUAAUUUUUUUUUAUAUGAUUCAAUAUGGAUAUGGUGAUAACUCAUAAUAUAAAUUUAUAUUUGAAUAAACUUUACAAUAUAAAUUUAUAGAUAGGCCGAAAGUUUUGAAUUGAUUUCAAACUCCAUUUCCAGGGAAGCAAUACCAGUACUAUGGUGCACAUGUCGACGCUAUUAGAAUAAAAAUUUUCCAUGGUACAAUUCCAGCUUCCAUGGUUGAAAUCUCAUUCCAUUAACCACAGCUAGAAUAAAAUUUUUAAACAAAUCUGACGUAAAAUAUGCAUGCAAGCAAAUCAUAAUUAAGAUGCAUUUAUUUGAUUAAAUCAUCAUAAUCCUGAGAUUUCUAAUCAAAUCCCAAGAAUACACAAUUCAAAGAUCAUGUGAAGUAUCCAAACCGUACACACACAAAUCCAUAUAUGUAAAUAACUUCAACCAAAGUUCGAAUUAACAUCUUAAUCUUCUUUAAAACCAAGUUUAAAAUUUCAAUUGAUUUCAAUUCUAAGGUUAAAAUUUGUUAAAGAGGAAAAAUUAGACCCCAAAUUAAACUUAAGGACUUUUAAUUAUCCAGAAGUUAAAAUGGUCAAACUUCCUCAAAUCAAUCAACCCUCAAUGGUCAGCUUCAUCUUCAUCCUGAAGCUUUAGACAACCAAUUUAUGCUCAGCCUACCAUUCCUACUUUCAAUGACUAAGUUAUUUUUUUACGGCCAAAUCCACUCAAAUUAACCUUUACAACCCUCUUACCCAUCAUCUACACUAUCUUACCAAAAUGUUUGGACGUCCGAUUUGCCCUAGAAUUCCUAGAAUAAACCAAUCUUUCAUUCCACAGUUUUGUUUUCGACAAAGAGAUUUCAUACUUCAAAUUCGUUAAUUUCGGCUAAUAUAGUUCAGAUUAAAGACAACAGAACUCUUAAGUUUGGAGCCCUUUCGGGCCUGUGGUCCACGAUUUGAGAAAAAAAGCAAGCACUUUCCCCUGUUCUUCGGCAACUUCAGUAAGCUAUUAAUCUUUGAUUUUUCUUGCUCACCCGUCCCGGAUGUCUCAAUUAAAUCAGUCUCCGGAGCCUAUGCAAAAUAUCUGAAAGCACAAAUUUAAAAAGAAGGGAUUCAUCAAGAACAAAGUUCUAUUUUAUGUUUUGUAAUAGAUUUUAGAAUCAUAUUCUAGUUUUAAAAGAACAGCCCUCAUUCUAUUUUAUGAUAAUGGAGCCCAUUCUAUUAUCAUAAAAGUUCAUUCUAUUAUCGUAAAAUUAGACUUCACAUGCCAAAAUAGUAAAUAAUAAAAAAAUAAAGUUCUAUUUUACGAUAAUAAACUUGUUCUCAAAAGUAACAAAUUUAAAAGUUAAUAAAUCUUUUAGAGUAGUCUGAGAAUCAUUUAAAAAGAAUGUGCAUAAGAUUUCACUAGUUUUUCAAAUUAAUACAACAAAUUAUGAUUAGUGCCAUUAGAAUUAAACAAGAAUUCAAGUUCAACAUUCAUCAAUUCAUUUAUCAAGAGAUUCGUACAAGAUCAAGCAUGGAAUUCAUACAAAAUACAUUAAACUCAACCAUUAAAGUAUAGAUUCUCAAGAAAAUUACAUAUACACUCCUAUUCCCAAAGAAAGUUUCAUCUAACUCUUCUUCAUCCUUGGAGAGGAUGCUUCAUGAAUCAUGUUGAAUGUCAAAGCAAACUUCAAAGAGAUUGAAAGAAUUUUAUCGAUCUUUUAAAAGAAUUUACAUCGUGCCAAUCUUUUGAGAGAAUUUACAAAAUAACCAAGUGUUCUAAUGAAAAAUUAUACAACUUAUGAGAAAAAUGGUCAGAAAGGGUUUUUAUAUUAAAAAGGUUGAAAAAAAGGCAUAAUAGGUUGUAUCGAUUUUGUCUGUCAAAGUUCAGAGUGUUGUUGCAGUAGCGGCUAGAUCGACCUACCUUGUUAAAGCGUAGAGCCGCACCAUGCUAAACAACACAGUGACAUAAUGAAAAAUAUGAUAAAAUUAAUCUCUAUUGCACAAAAGAAUCAAUACAAUUACAAGAUACAUGCAAUAGCCUAAGAAUUGGUACAUGCAAGUUCAACGUCGAAUGACCUUCACUACUUAGGGGAAGUUAAAACAAAACAUUUGAAGGGUUAAACCAAAAUGCCUAGUGAGUGGGAUCUUUUAAACAGGCACUUAAAAUAAAUCAAUUUUUGCCUUAUUGUCACAUAAUCAAAUAUCAAAGCAAAAGUAAUUCAAAUAUUCCACAGUUUAUCGAGUCGUAUAUUUUCUACGCACAAAGUGUUAUUUUGCACAUUCAUUUUGCACAAUCAAUUAUGUUUAUGUGCACCUCUCUCAUUUGCUCAAGUGUUUACCACACUCUUUUGUCAAGUUAUGGCCAUGCGGAGAAGUCUCAACGCACUAGCGAGUAUCAUCAAUUUUCUCACGCGUAAUGCAUCUUCCUAUGCCAGAUCACACAACAAGCAAGGGACAUCCAAUACCAAAUUCACACAGCAAGUAUGAAGCAUCUUAUUCAAAAUCACACAACAUGAGUAGGGCAUUCGACAUUCUAUUCUAGAUCACACAACAAGAAUAGAGCAUCUCAUCCUAGGGCCACAACAAGGAUAAGAUAUCAUAUCAUGUAGGGUACAAAGAUUAUCGUAUUUUGACUUUAAUAAGACUCAUGCAUUUUUCGAAAACCACCAUUUCAAGAUACAAUGUCACAUCAAUUCAAAUGCUUUAUCAUGAGACUUAGAGAGAAUGCCAUCAUAUAAUUUCUUAUACUAUAGGUUUAUUCACAAGAUACUUUUUUUUCGUUUAUAAGUCAUAUUUAAAGGUAGAAAAUCAUGCGGUUCAUGGUUCCAAAUAAUAUAUUAGGGAUUCAUUUUAGAAACCUUUAUUGAUGAAAACACUUAGUAAGAAGAACCACUCACAGUCACAGUCGAUAAGCUCUUAGCCUAGCUUUCAAGGCCAAGGUCUCCCUUACUCGUUUCAGAAUCUUGGUCGUUAGUGAGCUCAUUUCGCUUCUUGAAUCCUUGACACUCCUAGUUCUUUCGUAACAAUGAUCAAGGUAAAAGCAACCCAAAAUGACCUGAACCCUCUAUUUAUAGAUUCCUCCAACGAGUGUUUCUAUGUAGAAAUGAUUUUUCUAACCGACAGCGGGAAGUGGCCCAAUCUCAUAAUGCCACGUACCUCUGUCAACCCUUAACUUGAACUCGGAUUGGGCAACUGGGUUAAUCAAUCACUGACCUACUGAUGUUUGAGUUACAUCAUUGUUUCAAGGUGAAGUGGCCUAGCUCGCUUAUUUGUUUGUCGCUAAACUCUCACCGCGUAGAGGUAUUUUCAUCGUGUCACCAUCUCAAAUUGCGUUUUACAAAAGAGAUCUUCUUGAAUUAUCCCUACGCGCAGCCUUCCUCUUGUUGGUGACAUGGGAUCUGGGCCUUACAUUUUCAUUUUAGCAGUUUCCACAAAAUCAACAAAAAUUGCAUAAAAACAAGGGUUUCAAAUUGAAACUUAUAAAAGCGGGAAAGAAAAUCAUCCCAAAGAUCAAUAGAUAAUGCAAAAUUAAAUAAAGAUUUUCAAAGAAUUAAAACUAAAUAACUAAAAUUUCCUAAAGGUUACCUUAGUUCAUCAUGGAUUUGGAAGAAGCAAAAGAGAUA
rnacentral:lncRNA from 1 species